rnacentral:lncRNA from 1 species
AAACAAGAAAAACUCAGCUCAAAACAUAUGAAUUCUAACAACAAAACUUACCUAAGAAAAAAGCAAGCCAGAAAUGAGUAGAGUUUCCAUGAAAAUCCAGAAAGUCACACAAAACAACAAAUGUAAAAACACAUGUUGCAUGCAUAUUCACCAGGGACCCACUUGAAACAGGUGUCGAUCUCUUCUUCUGCAUGGCAACACAUUCGUAUAAACUUGUAUUUCUAUAUUUCUGUUUUAUCUUCAAGCAGCUCACUAUAUUUUCUAACUAAAUUUGUGGGUUUUUUAUGAACCGGGUUAAUUUAGUGAUGGCCGGGUUGAGGUUGAGUCUGGUGGUGAUGGUUUUGAUAGUGCCUUGGAGCUGUGCUUUUAGGGUGGGUCCUCGAGCCGGGUCAGUGAACCGGUUUGAAUCGAUGUUGAGGUCUCCUGUGGAGCUUGAUGAUGAGGAGGAGAUGAGGAAUGGGACCAAUUGGGCGGUUCUUGUUGCCGGUUCAAAUGGUUAUGGGAAUUAUAGGCAUCAGGUAUGUUUGUCAUUUCUGUUUCGAAAUCCUGGUUCCGCCUCGGUAUAAGCCGCCAAUUGUAAAUUUAGGACUUGCAAGUGAGUUGGGGAUUUUUGGUUAUUUAACUUUUAAGUGUUGUUUGGUGUAUUUACUUCCCCGAGAUUUUUAUUGAAUUUUGAGGUUGAGGAGGUAUACUUACAAUUGUUUAUGUUUCGAAAUUCUGGUUCCGUGUACUUACAGUUUUAAUUUAGGACUUGCAAGUGAUUUUGAGAUUUUUGAUUAUUUAAGUGUUGUUUGGUAUAUUUACUUUCCCCAUAUUUUUUAUUGAAUUUUGAGGUUGAGGAGGUACUUGUGCCGUUUUUCGAAAUUCUGGUUCCUUAGAAGUGUCUAUUCAGGAAUUGCAAAAGAGUUUGACAUGUAUCAUAAUUAAACUUGUAUAAGUGAUCUUUGGUGUAUUUACUUUUCGGAGAGUUUUAUUGCAUUUUGAGGAUGGGGAGAUAAUUAGGAUAUAAUUUAUUUGUUCUAUAUUUGUCAGUAUUAAUUAAUUGUGAUUAGUUGAAUUUAAUUCAAUUGAUAUGUUGCGGAUGAUGAAUACAGGCCGAUGUAUGUCAUGCAUAUCAAAUACUGAAAAGAGGUGGACUUAAAGAGGAGAACAUAAUUGUGUUUAUGUUCGAUGACAUUGCUAAUAGUGAAUUGAAUCCAAGGCGAGGUGUUAUUAUCAACAGUCCUCGAGGUGAGGAUGUGUAUGCUGGUGUUCCGAAGGUACUUAUUUCCGACAUAUUUUAUGCCGCAUAGCCCACACGGACACCAUUAUCCUUUCCAUGCCUCAUGGCUAUCAAAUUGCAUGAUCAACUGAUAGUGUUUUAUUGUUUCAUAGCAAAUUAGCAAUCAUUAUUCUGAUAUCUUUACGUAAGCAAUUUAUGGAAUUGGAAGUACAUUAUAGAAAUGUUGCACUAAGUAGAAUUGCACCAAUAUCUUUAUGCGGGCAACUUAUUAAAUUACUAGAGAUAUAAUCCACCUAUUGAGUGUUGCACGAAUUGGUGUCUGCAAAUGAUACAAUGAAAUAAUUUUACAGGAUUAUACAGGGGAUCAAGUGACAGCAGCUAACCUGUAUGCCGUUAUACUAGGGGACAAAAAUUCGGUCAAAGGUGGAAGCGGAAAGGUUGUAGAUAGUGGACCUAAUGAUAGAAUCUUCAUUUAUUACUCGGACCAUGGAGGGCCUGGAGUACUCGGUGAGUACUGUUUGGUUGUUGGUAAUCAAGAUUCUUACUAUUAGAUUUUAGUUUCUUGGAGUUGAAGUUGCUUACUGAAUUCCCGCUCUUUGUAGGGAUGCCGGAUAUGGUUUAUGUUUAUGCCAAUGAUUUCAUUAAUGUGUUGAAGAAGAAGCAUGCAGCUGGGACAUACAAAGAGAUGGUACAUUAAUUUUGUAGAACCAUUCCACCAAUUCUUGUAUAAAAAAUGACUGAUUAAAUUAAACAUUGUGCGGAAGGUAUAAAAUAAGAUACAUUUUUGUCUGUGUAGGUUCUUUAUGUAGAAGCAUGUGAAAGUGGAAGCAUCUUUGAAGGUUUAAUGCCAAACAAUUUGAGCAUCUAUGUCCAAACAGCCUCAGGUGUAGAUGAAAAUAGCUGGGGAACAUAUUGUCCUGGAAUGGAUCCGGCCCCACCCCCGGAGUUCAUGACUUGCUUAGGAGAUCUGUACAGUAUUUCUUGGAUGGAGGAUAGGUACCUCUAAUAUAUAACAUCUUAUAAUAUUGGUAAUGAAUAUUUUAAGAGUUGGUUUCAGAAAUUGGAGUCUGUUACACAAUUUCACGCACGUUCAAGACAUUUUAUAUUUCUGUUAUGCUUAAAAACCUGAUCUAAAAAAUAGAACUUCAGGCUGCUAAAUAGUAUGCCUUUGAUGGAUAAACGGAUAGAGAAGGAGGUGGUUGGAAGGAUGGAGAUGACUUGGCCCCAUGGAUGGGCGACUUGGUUGUAGGCCAUUAAGUAGGAAGGCUUGAUACUGGAUGGAUGACUUGGUUGAUCAUGUAUGGAUGAUGACUUGGUUAUAAGGAAGUUAGGAAGGCUUGGUCGAUGUCAAUUAUAAGUGUACUUGUUACUAAAAACACUUUUAUUAGUCUGUUCCCUUGCAACACCGGCACAUAUUGUUAAUACUUAAUCGGUUCAAAUAGAAAUUUUCCUAAUGAUCUAAAAUUAUACUUGGCUUGUUACUCUGUAACUCUUUCUUUGGGCUACUUAGUUACUGUUUAACGUUUAACUGCAGCGAGACACAUAAUUUGAAGAAAGAGACUAUAGAACAGCAGUACAAGAAGGUAAUUUGAAGCCACUUUUCAGUUUUGGUUUGUUUCCUACUUUCCUCAACCUGAUAUUAUAGUACUUCUUUAGGUGAAGGACCGGACAUCCAAUUCGAACACCUACACUGCUGGAUCUCAUGUGAUGGAGUAUGGGACCAAGGAAAUAAAGAAAGAAAAGGUGUACCUUUAUCAAGGUUUUGAUCCUGCCUCUAAAAAUUUUCCAGCUAACAGAGCUCAAGCCAAAGGGCAAAUGGGUACAAUUGAUCAAAGAGAUGCGGAUCUUCUUUUCUUGUGGCAAAUGGUAUGUGUUUUAGUUACUUUCAGUUUACCAGGCCCAACAUGUUUGACAAUUUAAAUGAUGAUGAAUGAUGACAAGCUACAGUCUUCCCAUUCAUUCUUCUUUAUUGAGUAGAUUUAGACUAUGCUUUUAACAAAAUUUUUCAAAAUUCAGUACAAACGAUCCCCGGAAAAUUCAAUAAAGAAGACCGAAGUUUUCAAGCAGAUUAGCGAAACUAUGGCACAGAGGGCACACUUGGCUGAUAGCAUCAACAUGAUAGGGAAGGUUUUGUUUGAUCCUGGGCAGUCAAACUCAAUUCUCAACUCCAGAAGAGCUCCAGGAUCACCGUUAGUGGAUGACUGGAAUUGCCUAAAAUCGAUGGUGAAUUCCAACUUCCCUUUCUAUUGUAAUUUCUUCAGUUUCUUUUUAUGCUUAUAUAUUGUGUAAAUUUACAAACUGUGCAGGUUCAAUUGUUUGAGGCACAUUGCGGGUCACUUACACAAUAUGGUAUGAAACACAUGCGAGCAUUUGCUAACAUUUGCAACGACCAAAUCUCUCUCUCUGCAAUGGAGGAUGCUUGUACAGCUGUCUGUGGCCGGGAAAGCAUAGCAUGGAUACCACGAAUUUCCAAAGAGGGUGGCUAUAGUUCAUAAGUUUCCUUUGUCAUGCAAAUGACUCUUGCAUAAUAUAUAUGCAGUAACAUAAAAUCUUAAUUUAUUAUGCGAAUGAGUUGUUUGUCGUUGCAGUUAACUGUUGUCUUGUUACUUGAAUCCCCAUCGAAAAAUGGCUGGCAGUAGUGCCUAAUGUUGCCUUAUGACUUGCAUAUAUGUAUGUCAGUAUAAAGGUUGAAUUUAUUAUCGUAACUUGUGAUGCAGAUAAAAUUGCUUGAUCGAUCAUUGCAACCAACUGCAUUGCAACAGACUACAUGGCCAACGUUAAUUGUGUUACUCUCCAAAAGAUCAAUUGGAAGGUAAUAAGUUUAUUGAGUAAAAAAUAAGUUGCAUGUGUUUCGCACGUUUAAGACUCACACUGAACAAGUGAGGUUGAAAACUCAAGAGGUUUGGUGUGCACAUAAGAUAUGUGACACAAGAGUGUUUAUGUUAAUACCUUAAAAGCUCAAAGUAACUGAGCAUAUUAACAGGCUUGUUCAUUAUAGAUGGCAUAAUCAUGGGUGGUUUUGCUUGCGAGAAAAAUGUUUUAUGUACAAUAUUUCACAAAAUGACAUAUAUGUUAAGUUUUAAUUACUCCCUCCGUCCCAAUUCUUUUGGCUUGUUUGACUUUUAAUGGUCAAAUUGACCAAAUUUUGACUGAAAUUUACAUGUAUUAAAUAAUUGGAAAAGAUUUUAAAAAAUAUAUUACUAAAAUCUACAUUUGCUCUACUUCAAGAUGUAUGUUUCGGAUUUUAAAAAUCAUGUAAGAAUAAUUAGUUAUUACCGGUCAAAGUUUGGUCAAUUUGACCACAAAAAGUCAAACAAGACAAAAGAAGUGGGACGGAGGGAGUAGAAUGGACCGUCUUUAUCACGUAAAUACCAUCAAUUAAAACAUCUCACCUCAGUUGUCAUUUCAUUUUAUGCAAAAUUUUGUACCUAAUUUUGUGUACGUGGCACUAUUUUCCGAAACCUCUUUAGGAUGUAUCGGAUGUACUCUAGGAUCGAUCUGCUCGAAUGGCAAUAACCAAAAUGGAAUUCUGUGUCAAAUAAAAUCCUUCUAAACAAAUUUUUCACAUCAUGGAUGGAUUUGACACUGCACCACCAUGAAUGUUAACAGACUCUUUUGCAGCAUAAUUGAUGCUAGUUGAGCUAAUGUUCCUCAAAGUCACACUCCUAAUCCACUCGUCAUCUCAGAGCCUAAUAGUACUCCCUCUCCCUCCGUCCCUCUGAUUUCUAUACACUUUCUUUUUCGGGAUGUCCCAUUCAAUUUUAUACAUUUCAAAACUUUCCCAAAAUAUUAAAUUUUUAUAAUAUAAAAUUCUCACCCACCCACUACUUCCAUCUACUUUUUCAAAUCUAUCAAUAAAAGGAUAGCCCAGUGGUGGGUUUAUCCUCUGUUGACCCGGGGCACCCGGGUUCGACUCUGGCUCACCCCGAGAAUUAUUAGAACAGAUACUAAGUUGUAAGGCAUAUAAGCCUGCAUUGUCAAAAAUAUGCAUAGGUCCCACCACUUUACCUACUUUUCUUUCUCUUUCUCAUUACUUUACCUACUUUAUACACUUUUCUUAGUCUCCGUGUCCAUUCCAAACGUAUACAUCCCAGAGAGACAGGGAGUAUUCCGUAUCCCCUUUAAAGUGAAAAGGGGGAAAAACUCGUCAUAAAAGUUCAUGAGGGUUCUCAUUUCUUAACUUGAAGUAAGCUGAUGUAUAAGGAUACAGUUGACGACGAAGUAUAUUUAGUGCUAACACAAGCUCACACCACAAAAUGCCCCUUUCUAUAGGAACCGUAAAAGUCAUUUCACAAGAAAAACAGAGUAAUUUCUUGCACCUGAAUUUCUGAUGCCUGAACCAUCCUACAAUGUUGGCUUGCACACUACUAGACACCAAUCUCCCAAAAACUGAAAUCUCGUUACUUUCUCAAAGUUUCAAAUAUUUGUAGGGUCAGACAUUAAAGCUAGAAGAAGUUCUAUAUUCAUACUGUUCAAAUUUUGUACUCCCUCCGUCCCAUUUAAUUCUAUACACUUUCUUUUUUUGAAUGUCCCACUCAAUUCUAUACAUUUCAAAACUUUCCCAAUUUUAGUAAUAUAAAAACCCCACCCACCCACUACUUUUCCAAAUCUAUCAAUUAUAUAUUGAUGGGUCCCACUACUUUACCCACUUUUCAUUCUCUUUCUUCCUACUUUCCAUUACUUUAUACACUUUUCUUAAUCUCCGUGCCCAAUCCAUAUGUAUACAAUUCCGAGGGACGGAGGGAGUAUUAAAUGAGGUUUCUGGAGUCGCACUAUGGAUACUACUUGGAGUUUACUUUGACAAAUUAUGAGAAAAAAUAAGGUCUUUAGAGUCACUCAGCUCAGAAUAUAGUUUGACAGAAAGGAGUUUUUAAUUUCCUUUGUUUUUUUGACAGAUCCUCUCUGUUCCAAAACAAAAACUCCUUAGUGCCUCCGGACUAUAUGAGGUCAGGACCUCCACGAAAAAUAUUGCCUCACUAUAUAUUAGACUUCAGAUAACUUUUGGUCAACUUUUAAAAAAACUUUAGUAGAAAAUCAAUGGUCUAUGCUUCUAAUGUUGUCGUGGACUGUUCACCUUAGCAGCUUAUUGUAUUGUUUGGGUAGUGAAUUUACAAGUCAAUUUUCGAUUUAUAAGUCAGAAUAUUAGAAGUCGAAAAUCCUAACCUUUUUUAGUGAUUUAUGUUUAUUUUUUGAAAUUUGAUUUUCCAAAUAUGUAAACGACCACUUUAAAAGAUGAUCUAUAAUUUUAUUAAUAAUUUUUGAACCUAAUAAGUUGUAAAUACUAAAAUUUAUCCAAAUACAUAGAAUAAAAGUUAUUUCUCACUUAUAAUUAAUCUCUCAUUUAUAAAUAAUAAACACUUCUUUCAAAUAACGGUUGUGUGUAUAAUCAAUUGUACAAGAUAUUUUUCAAAUUAUGUGUGUCUUACCUCAAACUUUACCUUAUUUUCUUAGAUUCACUAGUCUAACAAUUAUCUGGAAAGGUGAAUGAGCUAGAGGGAUAUCAGUGGAGCAACAAUCACACUCUAAAUACACAUGUUGUUAUGCCCAAAAUCGGCAUGAGCCUCGACAGACCCAUAUUCAGAUAUGGAUCACUAAAGUUGGCCAUCCACCUCUAUUAAUAAAGGUUAUUUGCUCUCCAGUUCAAAAGGAAGACUAGACCAAGUCCUUUGGGCUCAUCAUUCUGAUAAGUCACCUCAUUUGUGAGCCUCCACCACUUAAAAGAUAUAUGAAGACUUAAGGAGCACCCUGAGGGGUCAUCGUCCUGUGUCUGGGGAACAUCCUGAGGAGUCAUCACCCUGAGGAGUAGUCAUCCUGAGGAUUCGUCGCCCUGAGGGGUCGUCACCUCUAAGGAUUACUCCCCAUGGGUCCUUGCCCUAAGGUGUCGUCGCCCACAGGGCCGUUAAAGUAUAAAUGGGGAGUCUAGGGGUCGCUACCCUUUGGCCUCGUUCACCUUGGGGUCAUCAUGGUUCAAGACUGCUAGCCCAAAGGUGAUCACCCUGGAGCUCAUUCUCUAGUUAGGCUCUCAUGCCUCUUCAUCUCUCAUACAAGUUGGCCUCACUGGAAGGUCACCCACUUUAUUUUACUAAGUCCCUUGCUGGCUCUCACUAGGGCUGCACCUUCUAUUUCGGGUUCCCUCACCCCGUAAGAGGAUGACUGGGUUCCCUCACCCCACCAUAGGAUGUUUGGGCUCCCUCACCCCAUGCGGGGAUGAUCCAGACAUGAAGGCUCAUGACCGGUUCUGGCUUGGGCCCAUGAGUAUACAUAUCGAGGUCUCUACCUCCGCUUAUUAAAUUGAUAUCUAUUCUCCGACCUGCUACAUGAUAGCCCCUUGCCAUAUGGGUCUAGGCCAUGUGAGUACGGGCCUCUCUUGAUGGCGGCUUUCGCGGUCUUACACACCUGGGCCCUUGUGGACCGGACUGACACCUGGCCCGCGCUAGGAAGUUUGGCCUGACAGAACUACGUGGUAGCUUGAACCCCAGUAGAUAGGGUACGUAGGCCUCUUGUGGCUCAUGACCUCAUUCUUGCUAAGAACGCUUGAGAAAUUUUUCUCUCGUUUGCUCAAGGAUCAAACCACAAGAUCAGCUACAACAUCCAUCACUUUCCGUCCCGUGUUCUUCGUGAAAUUCUUCCUUCAAUCACGCAAGUGCCAACAUUUGUUGUUAAUCAUUUUCUCUCGUUAACAAUUUAGCGACAACAGUGAUAGAUCAAAGCAUCUUAAGGAGAAAGAUGAGCAAAAGGAAGAACAAGUCUGAGAGAGCAGGGAGUGCCUCUCCGGGAGGCCCCAAGGGGGAGAACAGCACAACCCCUCAUAUUGAGGAACAACCCUUGGCCAGGGAGAGGCUCCCCCAUCUGAUCUUGUUAUGAAGUAUCUAAAAUACCUCUCAAGAGAGGUGAAAACUAUGAGCUCUAAGAUGGCCUAGAUGUAGAGGCAAAGCAACAAGAGAAGAAAGGCUUCAAUAAAGGGGGCCGCUUCUCGAAAGGCAAGAGGGCCUCAAAGUGGACCCCUAAGAACUUGGAAGAUGAUUUUAACCGAGAGGCUAAGGGCGAGAAGAUGCUUGAAACGGACGAAGUGUCCCGAAGUCAAGUAAAGGGUGCCCAUUCUUAUAAUAGAAAGACAAUUAGAAUCAUGAGUUAUUGAUAAGUUAGAUAUAUGAUUACGACCAUGUUAAAUUUUUUGGGAGAUUAUCUUGUUUUUGUCUUAAUUUGCAUAUGUUAAAUAAUUAUUGGUUAUUGUAUCAUUGUUCAAUUUAGGAAGAAUUUUCGGGUUUGAAUCUUGUUGCCUAUUUAUUUAAGAGUGAUUGACACUUUGCACCCCUUAUGUUUAGGCGCUUUUUUGAUUUGGUCUUGAACAAUUUUUUUUUGACAUUAUGCACCUUAAAGUUUGAAAAGCGCUUCGCUUUGCACCUCUUUGACCACUCUCCGUUAAUUGACCGCUAAAGUUAACAGAUUUUAGGUUUUCACUUUGCACCUCAUAAUUUUAAUUUUUUUUCAUGAGUAUUUACCAAUUUGUUUUCCUUCUCCUUAGAUGACAUAGGAACUUUGACUUCAAUCUUUUUUUCUUUGGUUAAGUGAAUAGAAUAGGGUACUUUUUUUUUGGAUAGCAUAUGAUGCUGCUCUUUGAAACUGCAAACAAAUUUUAUCAGGUCUUUAAGAUGUUAAGAACCCAGUAACCCGCUAAAGAUGAAAAAAGCAGCCCAUUACAAAUGAGGAAAGUAUGAAAUUUAUUACCUGCCAACUAGUGGUUAUAGCCUCUAUGAAAUGGACAAUCAAAGAAACGCUCAGUAUAAGAUAAUACAACUGCAAUGAGCGUAGGAAAAAACUAGUUGGUUGAGCUGCUUAUCUAAGAAACUACGACUGUUAUGUCGUCAAGCUUUCCACCGUAGUAUCUGAAUCCUACUUCCUUGUCUGCUGUAGAGAAUGGGGUUUGCUUAUGUCUGUCUAGAGCUCUCUGUUGUGCGAAAGCAGCUAAUUUCUGAGAUAAAGCAUCAGGAUCUAGACCUCCUCACAUUCCUUCAGCAACAACAAGUACUACCUCGUUGCUGAAUAGAUUGUCAAAUAAUCCAUCUGUCCCAACAACAAUCACAUCUCCAGGUACCACGGGAAUCAUAAACACCUGCCCGGAACUUGGUUGAUCACUUCUGCUACUACACUCCAGCUGAUACGUGAAGUUAAAACCAUGCUGCUGCACAGGGGACUCAAAGACAGUGCAGCCAUCUCUUAGUACAAUGAAUCCACUGUCACCAAGAUUAAUAGCAUGUACUCCCUCCGUCCCCCUCAAUUGUUUACAUUGGAGGGGGACACGGAGACCAAGACAAUGUAUAAAAAAUAAGUAAAGUUAGAUGAAAAGUGGGUAAAGUGGUGGGACCUAUCAAUAUUUAAUAAUAGAUUUGAGAUAGUGGAGAAAAAUAGUGGGUGUAAUAGUAGUUUUUAUUGUUAAAUAUGAGAUAGUAGGGGAAGAUAGUGGGUGUAAUGAUGAGAAGAACUUACUAUUUAUAGUAACGUAAAGAAAUGAGAGGGACAUCCCAAAAUAGUAACCGUAAAGAAAUGAGAGGGACAGAGGGAGUAUACCCUUUUUUCUUUAAGACAUACGAUGCAGGCUGUUGAGGAUCCCUUAACUUUUGUAGCAGAAUGGGCUCUAGUCUAGUUAACACCCUGAAAGGAUCAAUCCCAUCCUUAGGCUCGUUCAAGAUUGCUCCCACUGAAUUAGACAUGAGUUCACGGGCAUAUAGUCCAGCAUUAACUCCAAUACCCGCCCAGCCACCAACACCAUCAGUAACACCAAUCACUUUCUCAUUUACACAAACGAAGUGAGCAUCGUCCCCACCCGUCUCUUUAAUGUAAUUAUACAUUAUACAUCUACCUAAUUUGUCUAUUCAAUCGUAAUUGAGGGGAACACGAUCGACGAUAUAUUUCUACAUUUCCAUAAUCUAUUUUAUAAACUAAAUUUCCUGUUGUAUAUUAGUUGUUGGCAACCCUUCAACUCUCAUAGACUCUUUAUAUAUAAACUCAAGCAACUUUGAUCUCACCUUUGUAGAAGCCUCACAUGAAUCUCUCUGAUUCAUCCGCUACUUUUCCUCAAUUUUAAUUCUCAUUUAAAUAUAAACAAAAAACAUUAUAUGAAUGGACACUCUUAAAAAUGUACUAACUUGUUAAGAAUCACAUUAUUCACAUCAUAUUUACUAGCCGACUAUGAUAUUCUUAGAGAUGCUCAUUCCCGAAGUCUAUAUUAUUUAUAUUAUAUUUAGUACUGAUUCUGUUCCAUUUUUUUUUUUUUUUUGACUAAUAUGGCUUAUAGCCUUACAAUUUGAGUAUCCGUUCUAAGAUAAUCUCGAGGUGAGCCAGAGUCGAACCCAGGACCUGGGCCAACAGAGGAUAAACCCUUAACCACUUGGGCUAUCCAAUCGUGCUCGAUUCUGUUCCAUUUUAAUUGCUUCUUAAGAUGUUAAAUAAAAUCACAUGUAAACAUAAUUAUUUUUUAUAAUAUUUAUAUCAAAAUAAAAUUUUAGAAUCGAAAAUUUUAUUUGAUAUAAGAAUUGAAUUUUCUAUUAUGUGUAAAUAUUACUUUUUACACCUUAAUAUAUGUGUUAAAAAAAUCAAAUAUUAGUUAAAAUGGGACAGAAUAAAAGCCAGUUACUAGAGACGCUUUUAGAAUUCAAAUUUUAACCAUGAUCACAGUUACCUAUUCAUGAACAUCCUUUAUCUUUUGCAGGUGGUGAGCUCAUAUAAGCUUGGAACCCAAGCUUCUCAAAUUUCAGAGUAGGGUAGUUGGAAUAUCAGGUCACAAAAAAUCGCCCAAACCGCAUAAACCGUCCGCAGUGCACCACACCGCACCGCAAAAUACGAUUUUUAAUUUUCGUGGUGUGGUUGCGGUUUGAAUUUUUCACAAACCGCGCAGUGUGGUUCGGGUUACGAUUUGACAUUUUGCUAGUGCGGUUCAAACCGCACCGCACCGCAAUAUAAUAACAUAUAUAAUAUGGGUCAUGUUCAACAGAGAACUAUUAGAGAGAGAACCAUAGAACCCUUACCUUAUUUCUGAGGGUUCUGCAGCAGAACUUAAGUAUUAGUUAGGGUUCUGCGGUAGAACUUGACAUGCAAAAAAAUGUUAAUAUCUAUGUAUUAUAUUUUAAAAUUAUUUUUGAACACAUACAACGAUGAAAAAUCAUGAAAAAAAACAUGUAUUUAGAUUUAGAUCCUAAAACUCGAUUUAAAAUUUAGGGUUCUGCAGCAGGACCUUAGUGGUUCUACAGUUCUAUUUUAAGAACUAGUUCUCUUGAGCGCGACCCUAUAUAAAUAUAUUAGUAUUAGUAAUUAUUAGAUAAAAUUAUAUUAUAUACAUGUAUAAUAUUUUUUGAAAUCAUAUACGUGUAUAAUAUUUAUAAUGUAUAGUUAAAGUUUUUCAAGAAGCAAGUUUUACAGAGUCCCCACUUUGUUGAAGUUAUUGGAGCAUAUUUAUAUUUUUAUAAAUAAAAUAUCUUGUAAAUAGUUAUUGGACUUCAUAGAACUUGAUUCUAUUAUUAUAUGUCUCUUACUACUCACUAGCUAUUAUUUUAUGUACAUUUUUGCUUAUAUUUUUUAGUAUUUGUUGUAACUCUGAAAUGAUAAAUAUUGUAUAGAUUUAUUGCAAUUUUUUUUAUUACCAUAUAUUUAACUUUUUUUAUAAUUUCAACUAAAAAGAUUAAUUCUUAAAUGUGCAAACCGCAUAAACCACACCGCACCGCAUUUUUCGUGGUGUGGUUUACGCGGUUUUACUCUGAGCGUGAUGCGGUUGCGGUUUGCAUUUUCAACCAAACCGCAUAUGCGGUUUGGAUUGCGGUUUUAGAGAAAAACCGCACCGCUGGCGCCGCGAUCACCCUGGAAAAUUAAACAAAAAGUGAAAUGAAGCAGAUACAAGGCAAAACAAAUAUGAUAUUACUUCUUUAUUUCAUAGUUUUCGGUAACUAUUUUUUUUCAAAGCUUGAAGUCAACUUCUACAGAGCAUGACAUUACUUCCAGUACCAUAUGUAAACUCCUGCUUAACUGACCAAAGAGGUAAUCAAAACAAAUGAGCAAAUAGAUAUAAUAAUUAUUUAUUUGUACUACCGUCAAAAAUUCAGUCCUAAUUCACAAGUAACUAAUUGUUUCAUUAUCCUGGAGCCAAUGUUUAGAGUUGGAACCAUUUAGAGUUGAAAAAAAACCAUACUGCGAUUUAGAGUUGAAAAAAUAACAUACUGCGAUGUCACUUUAUAUAGUGAGAAGGUUAGAAUUAAGCUGCACAGUGGUAGCAAUGGGUAUGGUUUUGACUGGUAAUUUCUCAGAUCAUAAAUAUCAGAGUUCACUCAUCAAGGGGACACAACCAACGGUUGAAUGUGUUUAUGGUAAGAUUAGACUCGGAAUUUUAACGAACACUAAAGAUUAUACUACUAUAUACCUACGACAUAGAUUUAUAACUAGAUUUUGACAAGAACACAAAUGUUUGUCCUCUAUACACAAAGUCGAUAUCCUCUCAAGUCUCCCCAUGCUAGGCUCAUAGGUUUCUUUGGCAUAUGAUUUGGUCUGAGAUUUUUAACUUACAUUUGUACUUACAAACUCUUUAUUGAAAUAUUCUCUCUAGUGUAUUUUGACAUGAUAUCAAUCACAGACUUAACGGAAUCAUUCUUAACCAAGACUUAGCAAUCAGACUUAUUCACUACACUUUCAAGUUUCAUAUGCUGAUCGUAGUUGUAAAUUAAGUACACAAACACAAACCACAAAUAUUUUAAACACACGGCAAUCCUAUCUAGUUAUAAGCUUGUAAUCCUUUGUUCAAUAACACAAAUUCAAUAACAAAACACCCACAAAUACUUUAAACCAAACACCUAUAUUAAUUACGUGCACAAAACACCCACAAAUCCAUGCAUGCACAAACACACAAACAUACAAAACAACUAAAACACAAACACAAACAGAGCAAGCACAUGACAGAUUAGGCCAGAUACAAAAACAGACCAAAAAAAAUCAUAUAAACAGAUCAUAAAACUAAAACAACUAAACUUCAGCCAGAUUAAAGCAAAUAUAAACAUAUGGGAACCAGAUUAAAGCAAAUUACAACAAAUCAGAGCAAAAAAAAAUCAAAACCCUAAAAUAAGCAUAGUGUACGGAGAGCAUAAACUAUACAUAUAGAGCAUAAACUAUAACACGCGUAUAAAGUAUAAAUCCUAUGAUAAACCCUAAAAUAAGCAUAUCGUAGUGUAUAGGGAGAGAGAUAUACACAUAGAGAGAGGCGCGGGGAGAGAGCUUACAGAGAGAGAGGGUUACAAAGAGAGAGCUUACAGGGAGAAAGAGCGUAGAAAGAUGCGAGAGAGAGAGAAUUGAGAGAGACGAGACCAGAGAGAGGAGAGAGCUGCGAGAGAGAGAGAGAGUUGAGGGAGAUAACUGAUCGAGACGUUAAGAGGGUUUUAAUCGAAAUAAAAGAGAACGACGCCGUAUACACACAAAACGCCGUCGUUUAAGCUGGGCGGGGAACCGAACCCGCGACUCCUGAGUACCAAGUAUAGUGCUCAAACAUCAGACCAGCCACAAUUUUAAGUAUUAACUAAAGGGACUUAUAUAUAUAUCUACCUUUAUUUUACAAAAUAAAAUAAAUAAAAAAUCAAUUUAUAAUAUUCCUUCAACUAAUGUUCAAAUUGAUUGAUUUUAAGGACCAAUAUAAGUUAAGUAAUUAUAUUCAUAUCUGUACGGUUGGAUCAUUUGAAUUGUUUAUUUAUUUAUUUUUAAAAAUAACCCUACGUUCAUAUUUAAGUAUAACCUAAUAUUUUCGCUAAAUAUCUCAACAAAUAAAAUCCUAUUGACUUGAUUUUUGGUAUAUAACUACGAUGAGUACUUAAUUUAUGAUCCGUACGGUUGGAUCGCGUAAAAACUAAAUUUAUUUUUUUGUAAAAAUAUAAUUACCCUACGUCUAUAUUUAAGAAUACCAUAAUAUGUUCGUUAUAAUAUCUCAACAAAUAAAAUACUAUUGACUUGAUUUUUGGUAUAUAACUACGAUGAGUACUUAAUUUACGAUCCGUACGGUUGGAUCGCCUAAAAAACAAAUUUAUUUUUUUAUAAAAAAAUAACCCUACGUCUAUAGUUAAUAAUAACAUAAUAUUUUCGUUAUAAUGUCUCAAUAAAUAAAAUCCUAUUGACUUGAUUUUCGGUAUAUAACUACAAUGAGUACUUAAUUUACGAUCUAUUCAUAUAGUAAAACAUUUAAUUUUGAAUAAUUUAGAAUAAUAACGUAAUUAAAAAUAACACAUCUGAUAUACAAGUAGUCUUACGUGAUCCACAUAUAAUAGAAUGUUUUUUAAAUAGUUCAAUUUUUUUUUGCCAGUAAUUUGUUUAAAAUAUUUAAACAUCUUAGUCAAGUUUAUACAUAACAUAUGUGACUUCGGAAAGUAAAAAUUAUGUUAAUUCUGUUUUUUUUAAAAUUAUUAGUUUUAUAUUAUAUUAAUAUAUUUUUAUAGUAUAAAAAAGGUUAUAAAAAUGUAUUUUGGUUAAUCAAAACCAUCUGAUUCUUUGUCUCCGCGUUGAUGAGAUUAUUUUCUUUAUAUUCUUUCAAUUGGAUCGUUCAAAUAAUAUAUCAUUUCAUCAUGAAUAAUUUGGAAUGAAUAACGUAAUUCAAAAUAACACAUAUGAUAUAAAAGUAGUCUUCUGUUUACGUAAUCCGCAUAUAAUACGAUUUUUUUUUAAAAUUAUUUUAAAAAUACUUACAUAUUAGUCAAGUUUAUACAUUAAAUAUGUGACUUCGGGAAGAAAAAAAUUACAUGAAUUGUAUUUUUAAAAAAAAUAUAUUUUAUUAGUUUAAUAUUAUAUUUAUGUAUUUUUCAUAGUAUAAAAUGGUUAUAAAGCUAUAUUUUAAUUAAUAAAAAUUAUCUGAUAUUUUAUCUCCACGUUGAUGAGAUUAUUUUAUUAACAUCCGUACGGUUGGAUCGUCCAAAUAAUAUAACAUUUAAUUUUGAAUAAUUUCAAAGGAAAUAAUUGAAUGUUAUUUAUAAUUAAACCGACCAACAGAUGCAUCGAAUGGUAAUCACGGUCGGUUAUGAGUUCCAUAGGUCGGUUUUCUGCGUUGUGGAAUGGUAAGUGUCGUCCGUUAUGAGGUCUGGCGGUCGGUUUUCUACGUUGUAGAAUGGUAAGCACGGCCUGUCGGUCGGUUUUCUAGAAGAUGAAUUGUAUUAUUGGUCGGUUUUGACCUUCGUGGUCGGUUUUUUGGUUUUUUUCCAAAAAAAAAAGAAAGAAGAAAGGCAUGUGCUGCUUCUAUUUGUUUCCAUUACCUGGGACUAACAACCAACCAACAAACCAACUUCUAAGAGCUAAAAGCCAACCAAGAAAUUACAUAAAUUCAACAGGAUCAUAAAAUUUCAAGUACUUAAAUUCAAUAGCAUCAUAAAAUUUUCAAUUACAAAACUCUUUUCUUAUUCUAACUCAUUUUGUGUCGAAAAAGGUUUCAAGUUUAACGUGCUAUAUAUGUUGUGUUAGUGGAGCUCUUUCUUUGGUUGGAAUAUGUUGUUGCAUUUAGAUAAUAUUGGAUUCACAUGACAAUAACAAUAUACUGUGUGAUCUUAAUAUCACAUUUUUUAUUAAUUUACUGUAUUUUAUUUUUAUAAUGUUAAAUAGAAUUUAUCUUAAAUAUAUAUAAAAUAAAUUUCUCAAUCGCGCGGAGCGCAUUUUCCUCCCUAGUUCCAUGUAUAAAUGAAUUUAUUUCUAAAUGAGUGGUCAUAAAUAAGUGACAGGUGCAUUUAAAAUUGAUACUUAUUGUGUAAAUACAUUAAUUAUUGAUACUUAAUAUUUUAAAUAUAAUAAAUGAAUCAUCUAUCGAUAAUUUUUCUCCUCGUCGCUGUUUAAUAUGUAGAAUUUUAUAAGUUUUAAGGCAAUAGUAAUAUAUGAUUAAAAUGACUAAAUUUUUACGAAUAAUAAUUAAUUGAUACUUAUGUAAUGACAUGUAAAUUUUGUCAUCACAUUUAAUAAUAAUAUUUUGGGUUUUUUUCAAAAAUACCCAUUUUCUAAUUUUUUUAAAAAUAUAUUGUGCAAUCAUGUAUGCAACUUCGUUUACAACUCUUGCAACCUCAAAAGCAACCACUUUCAACUUGUAACCUAGUAUACUGCAUUGAUCCUAUUUUUGAAAAUAAGUUUAAAAAUAUGGGUAGUUUUGCAUAUUUCCCUAAUAUAUUUCUUUUACAUAAAAACAUUCAAUAAAUUUAAUAAAUACAAAACUAUUGCAAUAAAUUUAAAACAUGCUAAAAAAAUUAAUAUCCAUAAGAAAAAAAAAAGAAUUUGAAAAUAAACAAUAAUGGGGCAACAAACCAGAAAUAAAGUAAACAACCAGGGGUGUAAAAUGAUUCGGGUGAUCCGGGUACCCCUCUCCUCAAGUACGCGAUCAUAUUAUUUUUAACUUGUCCAAAUUUUGGUCUGGGAUGGUUUUAUUCGGGUAUAAACCGAUCCCAGGUAUUUUAGAUUCGAAUCUGAACCAGAUAUUAUCUAAUAUCGUAUUUUCUCUUUUUUAACUAGGUAGUUUAUGAUCCAUCGAAGUUGGAUAUUAUCCACUAACAUUAAAUAUCAUUAUUAUUUCAGUUGUUCAAAUAAUUAUCAUUUAGUCUAAGUAAACAUAGUAUUAUAAAGUAUAAUAAUUUUAAAUUAAAACUUAUAGUUAUAUGUUGGUAUAUAUCAUUUUAUUAAAUAUAUAUGAAGAUAAUAAGUAUGAUCACAUUAAAUAAAUCAUAUUUUAUGAAGAUACAAACUUAAAUAAGAUAUUAAAAUUUUAAAAAAUAAUGACUAUUUACUUGCAAAUAUGAUGGUGUUAAAAUAUAAUAAGUAUAUGAGUUUGAAUCGAAUAUGAACCUGGAUCAUAUUCAGUUAUUCGGGUAGGAUCAUAUUAUGAAAAAAUAUAUGAGACCGAAUGUGAGCAGGUAUAGAUGUCUUGUAUCGAGGAUCAUAUAUUAUACAGACUUAAUUUUUCCGCCAGAUUUGAAUUGUUUUCAAAACGGAUAUGAGACAUGUAUAUAUUUUCGAGGAGAAUAUGAGCAGAGACACCGGAUAGUCCGUAUCAAUUUACACCCCUAAGCAACCCUGACUUUACAUGUUCAUGUUUGUAAGGAAACGUUCGGUUUGAAACAGAACGAGGUAGAUGCUAUAAAGAAACGGUAAGCACUACAAAAGCAAUCAGUGGUAUAAAAUUUUCCCACAUAAUAUAAUCUAUUUAUAUUUCUAUCUAUGGACUAUACUACUUUUAGUGGUAUAAAAUUUGUCUACAAAACAUAGUAGGGUAAAUUUUUGUAUGCCAUGUUUUUUAUAAUUUCAACUAAAAAGAUUAAUUCUUAAAUGUGCAAACCGCAUAAAUCACACCGCACCGCAUUUUUCGUGGUGUGGUUUACGUGGUUUUACUCUGAGCGUGAUGCGGUUGCGGUUUGCAUUUUCAACCAAACCGCAUAUGCGGUUUGGUUCGCGGUUUUAGAGAAAAACCGCACCGCUGGCACCGCGAGCACCCUGGAAAAUUAAACAAAAAGUGAAAUGAAGCAGAUACAAGGCAAAACAAAUAUGAUAUUACUUCUUUAUUUCAUAAUCUUCGGUAACUAUUUUUUUUCAAAGCUUGAAGUCAACUUCUACAGAGCAUGACAUUACUUCUAGUGACAUUACUUCUAGUACCAUAUGUAAACUCCUGCUUAACUGACCAAAGAGGUAAUCAAAACAAAUGAGCAAAUAGAUAUAAUAAUUAUUUAUUUGUACUACCAUCAAAAAUUCAGUCCUAAUUCACAAGUAACUAAUUGUUUCAUUAUCCUGGAGCCAAUGUUUAGAGUUGGAACCAUUUAGAGUUGAAAAAAUAACAUACUGCGAUUUAGAGUUGAAAAAAUAACAUACUGCGAUGUCACUUUAUAUAGUGAGAAGGUUAGAAUUAAGAUGCACAGUGGUAGCAAUGGGUAUGGUUUUGAAUUAAGAUGCACAGUGGUAGCAAUGGGUAUGGUUUUGACUGAUAAUUUCUCAGAUCAUAAAUAUCAGAGUUCACUCAUCAAGGGAACACAACCAACGGUUGAAUGUGUUUAUGGUAAGAUUAGACUCCGAAUUUUAACGAACACUAAAGAUUAUACUACUAUAUACCUACGACAUAGAUUUAUAACUAGAUUUUGACAAGAACACAAAUGUUUGUCCUCUAUACACAAAGUCGAUAUCCUCUCAAGUCUCCCCAUGCUAGGCUCAUAGGUUUCUUUGGCAUAUGAUUUUAUAUGUAUAAUUCAAUAAUUCUUAAGAUUGUUAGAAAUUUGGAUUGAUCUCCAAAUUUUUCAAGAUUUUAGUAAAAUCUAAGUUACAUUUUAAUAUAUUUUUUAAAAAAAUUUAUUGUUAAAAUACCCAAAAUUAUAAUUUUUCUUUUCACGGUACAACCAUAUAUAUAAUGUCAAUUGCGACUGUUUCAACCAGCAUUACAAUCACAUAUAUAAUUUUGAUGGUGUUUUUGAAAAUACAGAUAUUUUUAUAUAUUUUCCUUAAAAAAUUAGCAUAAACUAUCUAUAGCGUAGAAGUAUAAUAUUAUUUAAACUAAAGAUUAUUUACGAAAAAAAUCUAAUGUAGUCAUGCAAUUAUAGCUUACAAAUUUUCAAAUAUUUGUACAAAAGGUCUUACAAUUAUUCCUAAGUAACUUGUGGAUAAUAACAAUAAUAAUACUGAUAAAAGUAUAACACUAAUAACAAAAAAGGUAAAAAUAUGAUACACAUAAAAAUUAAAAUGAAAAAUAUCUACAUAAUUAUGUAAAAUAUAUUAUAAUAUAUAUGAUAAAAUAAUAUAAUAUAUAAUUAAUUCAUAUGUUAGCUUUCACAUGUGAAAAUCUAGUAAUAGAUUACUUGAUUCCAUCAUUUUUUUUUGCUGAGUUGUGGUAAAAUCUGCAUAAUGUUACAAACAAUUUAUAAAAAAAAAAAAAGAAAUUUAGUAACCAAAUGAGUGCAUCAAACAUAGAAAUUUUAGCCUCUAUCUUCAGGUUUUGGGAGGAAAAAGCAUUCAUUAAAAUAAAAAAUAAUAGACAAACUUUGCAGCAAAUUUGGGAGGCUAAUUCUCUUGUCAAAUUUCAUAAUAGAAGUCAACAAGGCUUGUCCACAAUAGAAGAAUAGAUUUUCUAGCAUUAUAAUUUAGUGGUGCUUCAUCUUUCUUACCAAUAUAUAUAUUUUUAUCCAAUAAUAGAUAAACAUGAGAUCUGCUUUCUAGAUUUUAUAACAGUGCUUGUGGUUAUUGGUGGAAGUGACAGUUUUGGCACAAAUUAAUCAGGGAAAAUAUAUUACAAAAUUCCUAACUCGUCAUGCAAUUGAUUCUCAGUAAUGGUGUCGUUGGAGACCUGAUUGGUUACAGAAAGGUUGUGACAAGAUAUUAAAAUCACCCCCUAGCUCUCUGCGCCCACCCCUCGCGAAAUCGCCCACCACGCAUAAUCUGGAAUUUAGGAAGUCUCAUAUUGGUGCUCAAAAGUCCAAAGAAACGGAGGAAUGUGGAGAUAACAAGAUUCUUGGAGGGUUGGUGGAAUUAGUGGUGGUUGAUGACGGUGUACGAUGGAGUAUCGAUGGUGGUUUUGGGUUUGGCUGAAAUCGUUUGGAUAAUUAGGGUUUUAUCAAAAGAUUGAAGGAGUAUUCGCUCUUGAUAGGAUUGUGUUUUAUCCCAAACAAUGUGCUUAUGUACCGACGAAGCCAAAUGUAGUUAUUGGGGAACAAGUAACCUAAUCUGAAUACGUGUCUCAUUCCUUGACUCCAUCGAUGGGACACCACUUUAGAUUAGGCAGGUAUGAGCUUGUGAAGUACAGCAUCCUUCCGAGGAGCAUGAUACUAGAUGGGUGACCCGACCCAGACUAUGUGGACCUCCUCUGAGUUAACUAUACGGGCUAGCCCUCUGUCUUCUCCGAGGGCGAGGUUGAAGGUGAGCCUGAUGAACCUAACAAAAUAAUAAUAACAGGGCUUUUGAGCCUAAUUGACUGUCUUGAUAUCAGGCGAUAAUUAGACUUUUAGGCGAGGAGCAAUGACUUCGGGCGAGGUCCUUCUAUAGCUUUCUUUCACUAGCAGCGUAAUUGACUAGUUACAGGUGUCAGUAGUCCGAUGAAAAUCUACCAGGGGCGAAGUCAUCAUUAAAGAAUAGAGUUAUCAGUUAUCAUGCAAUUAUAGCAUCCGAGUUGAUAUUUGCCCAUAACAGCUACAACAAUAGAGAUAGAUACACUUCAUCCCGAUACAAUGAAGGAUGAAAUCGAAUUUCUCUUUCAUGGUUACCAAUAUGAAUUUAUGAGUACGGCAUAUAAUAAAAAGUAUUGGUGAGCUUUUGCGAGGGCAAAAAGUCAAGUGUCAGUUUCUAUAGUUCUUGCUUUAGCUGGAGUCGUUUUGUAACAUAUGACUGAAUUGCCACAAAAGUAAACAAGUCUAAAGAAUUAAAAUCCUAAUUAUCGAAUUCCUAUGAAAUCAAAUCUCAUUUUUGAAUAGCUUAAGGGGAGGCUUAGUAUAUAGCAGAUAGAACAUAAAAUAUUUAGCCUCUUCAGGUUUUCGGAAGAAAAGGCAUUCAUUAAAAUAAAAAAUAAACAAACGUUGCAGCUAAUUCAGGAGGCUAUGAAGUAAACGAGACACUUGGAUGACAGCAUACUCAUCAAAGGUUAAAUUGGGUGUUUGGUUGAUGGUUAAUGAGCCCGGUUAACGGGAAUCGGAACCUAAUACCCAUACAUUGUGUUUGGAUUAGUAAAAUUUUUGCUUGGAAUGGGAACCUCAUUCCAUCUUGAAGGGUAAAUCAAUACCUCCACACCCCUUGGGUUACCAUUUCCAAUACCCUUCAUUCUCAUAACCCCAUUCCCAUUCCCCAUUCCCAUUCCCACCAAUCAUCCAAACACCCCCUAAAUCUGGGGAGGCUAAUUCUCUUGUCAAAUUUCAUAAUAGAAGUGAACAAGGCUUGUCCAGAAUAGAAGAAUGAGAUUUUCUGGCAUUAUAAUUUAGUGAUGCUUCAUCUUUCUUACCAAUAUAUAUUUAUAUCCAAUAAUAGAUAAACAUCAGAUCUGCUUUCUAGAUUUUGUAGCAGUACUUGUGGUUACUGGUGCCUGGUGGAGGUGACAGUUUUGCCACAAAUCAGAAAAUUAAAAAUAUGGAAAAUGACAUCUUGUUGCGCAGUAAUUCCUUGGAUAUAUCGACUUUACAAUUUAAAAUCCUGUAAGUAAAGUGUACGUUUAGAGUGUGACUGGGGCACUAUAUAUGGACUCGAUUUAUUUCAACAUGUUACAAAAUUCCCAAAUUUUCAUGUCCAAAAGUAGUUCUCAGGAGUUCAGUCCUUUGUCGUUGCAUGUAGACCUGAUUGGUUACUGAAUGGUGGUGAUAAAAUACUAAAAUCAUCCCCUACCCCAUCUGCGCCCACCAUGCAAGACCUGGAAUUUGGGAACCUGGUAUUGGUGCUCAAAAGUCGAAAGAAACGGGCUGUGGUUUUAGGGAUGGCUUCCAGGCAUUUUGAGUACUAUACAAAUUAAUAUAUUAUUAAUGUUUUCUCCUAAUUAUUAUUAUUAAAUCUAAAGUUAGAUAUUGGUGCUAAAAAGUCACCAUUAUUGGGCUGUUGUUUUUAUUUUGUCGUCUCGAAAUUGAAUUGUUAGGAUUUUCCAGGUUAUAAAUACUAAGCCAAAUCAGUGAGAUUUAAACAAAAAAAAGUGUGAAUAUUCAGAUAUCUUGCAAUGAGCAGCCAGUCUCGGCCAUUCGCAGAGUAUGGUCCAGAUAUUUGGGAUGAGAAAUUCACUUCUAAUCACAGAGACUUUAAGGUAUCAUUUUUUAUGUGAAGUUGCUAAUUUUAGCGGUGACUUUUACUACUAAUUGGUGAUCCAUAAGUAGAUUUGUUAAUGGAACAUAGACCAAUUAUACUAACAUGUCUCAGUAAUACAUAAACAGUUGUGGAAAGCAUGUACAGAGGAACGCGAUGAGCUUGAAAAUGAAGUAAGGAGCAUGCUGUUGUCUGCUGGUUUAAACUGGACUGAGAAGUUGAUUCUGAUCAAUACUAUUGAACGCUUAGGAGUUGGCUACCACUUUGCUGAAUAUAUUGAAGUCAUGUUGGCUGAAAUGCAUAAUGCUCAUGCCUGUACUAUUGAAAACUUCAAUCUCUCCACUACAGCACUUUACUUCCGAAUCUUAAGACAGCAUGGUUAUAACGUCUCGUCAGGUAAGCUAAAACAUAUAACAUAGUGUGUUAAACAGAAAUAAAUAUAAGAAAUCAUAGAUAUGCAUGGAUUAUAAUGAACUGAAUAUAUUCCCUUAUACUUGAUUGUUGGUUUAUUUCAUCAGAUAUAUUCAGCAAAUACAAAGAUAUUGAUGGAAAUUUCUCUGAAGCUAUCACAACAGACCCGGAGGGGUUACUAAACUUGUACGAAGCAGCACAUUUGAGAACACAUGGGGAAGCUAUGUUAGACGAGGCACUUGUUUUUACAACAUCUCACCUAACAUCUAUUGCAGAGUCUUUGGAUUCUGGCCCAUUAGCUAAACAGGUGCGGCGUUCCUUGGAGCAGCCCUUACAUAAGGGAAUCCAGAGAAUCGAGGCUAAGCAUUCUCUCCUUUUGUAUGAGCAGAGUCGAUCGAGGAAUGAAGUGCUACUCAAGUUUGCGAAGCUGGAUUUCAAUCUAGUUCAAAUGUUGUAUAAGCAGGAAUUAUCUCACUUAAUUAGGUAACCAACCACACAUGCCAAUGAUUUAAAUUUUAUAGAAUGCACAAAUUAAUGUGAAUAAGGCUAAUUUCAGUAAAUUUGCAGGUGGUGGGCUGAUAUAGACUUUAAAUCCAAAUUUCCUCAGUUUCGAAGCAGGGUAGUUGAAGGUUACUUAUGGGCUGUAGCAAAUGCAUUUGAACCUUGCGAUGCAACCGCUCGUAUCAUGUACACGAAGAUGCUUUGUGCCCUUUCAGUUACUGAUGACCUCUAUGAUGCAUAUGGUACAAUGGAUGAACUAAAUAUGUAUACUAAGGCCAUUGAGCGGUAAAGCAUAAAUUACCCCUUUUUGUGCAGAGCCAAAUUAUAUAAUAUAUACCGCCCUUCUCUAACACCAAGUACAGCCUGUUUUAUUGAACAUAUGGGGUUUAAUUAUACAGGUUAGACGCUGGCAGCAUCGAUGGACUUCCAGACCACUCUAAAUUGUGCUACAUCACUUCUUUAAAUGUCUUCAGAGAAUUUGAUGAAGCAAUGGUUAAGAAAGGAGUUUACUGUGAUCUUUCUUACCUCAAAGAAGCAGUAUGUACUCAGAAAAAUUUUCUUUUUCGUAAAGCUAAUAAUACAACAUAUAAGACAUACCAUAAACUCCUCAGAUGUUUUCUUUUUGUUCCCUCUCUUAUACGUACAGUUCAAAGCAAACUUGUUGGCUUUUCAUAAAGAGUCUACGUGGCGGGACAAGGGCUAUGUUCCACCACUUGAAGAAUAUCUCAUGAACUCAACAACAUCCUCUUGCAUAUGCAUGCUUGGAUUGUGUAUUAUUUUGGGGAGGGGACAUGGUGACACCAUUGGGGCAUGCAGGUGGGCAACAAAAAAACCAAAAGCUCUUGUUGCGGCUGAAAAAAUGGGGCGAAUAAUAAAUGACAUAGUGGGCUAUGAGGUUCGGGGUUAAUCAUGACCUAAUAAAUAUACAUAAAACCUUAAAUAUUUUGCUUUAGUAAGUUGUAAGACGCUAAUUAGUUAUUGUCUUUGUUAAAUUUGAAGGAGGAGCACCGCCGUCCACAUGUUGCUACAUCCAUCGAUUGUUACAUGAAGGAGUACGGGGUUUCAAAGGAAGAAGCGAUUGUCAAGUUAUAUGAAAUGAUCGAAGACACAUGGAAGGACAUAAACGAGGAAUGCUUGAGGCCGACACCCGUUGCAAGAAGUUGUAUCACCACAUUUCUCGAGCUGAUGAGAGUAAAUCAUGUUACCUAUAAGGAUAAUGAUCGAUACACCCAUCCUGAAGGACUGAAGCAUGAAAUUACCCUUAUCUUGGUGGAUCCGAUACCGAUAUGAACUACAAUAUCCUGCAGUUCUUGAACGGUUCUAUAUAUAAUUUCCUUUUUUGAACCUGGGAAAUGUGGCGUUUAUCUAUGUACAAAUAUUGUUUUCCAUCUAUUUAUGUCUUUAUACACUACAAAUAAUCAAGCAACAAACUUGUCUAAUUUGUGUGUAACCUGAAUAAUAUUAAUUUUAUGCAAUAUUAAUGAUCAUAAUUUAUCACUUGUGCAUGCAGUGAUACGGUAUAUUGUUGGAAAACGGGGGCUAUAAGUCUACAUUGACAAGUCAUUUAUCAGCAAUAUUAUAUUGAGUGAAUCCCCAUUAGGAGUUCGGGUUUGAGAUCUUCCUGGCACAUGUUUAAAUACUUAACUAAGCAAUGGAUGAGAUAAGAUGAUCUAAAAAUGCUUUUUUGGAUGUAUUAUUAUUUUUUGGCUUGGGCUCAAAAAUUAUGAUACAUAUUAAUUUAAUUUUAUUUCAGAUUAAUUAAUAUGAUUCAAUUGAAUUAAUUAAAUUAAUUCAAUUAUGUUUCACAUUAAUUGAUAUGAUUUAUAACCGACACAACUCCAUAAGUGCACAUAGGCAACCCUCAACACAGUUUCACAAGACCUGAAUGGUGUUGCAUAAGGUAAUAGGCAACGCUAUGGCAGCGUUACCAAUAUAGGUGUCACGUAAGACAUAUAAUGCAACACUUUGUACAACACCAUAAAAUAUUGCAUUAUGGCUCUUUUGAAACUAUAUAUACAUAAACACUACAAAAAAACCCGGAAUUACCAAUUAAAUUUACCAACGGAAACAAUUCCGUUAUAAUUUCCCAACGGAAUGCUGAGCAACAUAUCACCAACAGAUCACCAACCAAACGUUACCAACGGAUUAAUUCGUUGGGAAAAGUAAGCGCCAAGAUCUCCCGCCUAGCUAUACUGACAGAUUUAGCAUUAAUGAAUUCCAAACAGAAAAGGUAGCAACGGAAUACCAAUAGAUUUGUUACGAAUUAGCGAUGUAAUUUCCGUUGGUAAAUUGGUGCUUCAUUUGUCAUUAUUUUCGUUGGUAAUUCCAUUGCCAAUCAGUCAGUAUAUGAGAAUAUAAAGUCCAUGUGACAUGUUAUUAUAACCGUUGGUAAGUUUUUGGUAAAGUAGAUCGGUCAUCAGGAGAUCGUUCGCCAUUUUUCUUUGGUAAUCUGUUGGUAAAGUAGAUCGGUCACCAAUGUUCCGUUGGGAAUCUGUUGGUAAAGUAAAUCCGUUAGCAUUUAUUUUCGUUGGGAAUCGGUUGGUAAAGUAGAUCGGUCGUUUUAAUUCCGUUGGACAUCCGUCAGUAAUCGAAACAUAUUAAAAGUUUCACCAGACAUUUCUUUCUUCUUCCUUCGGCUUCCAAACUUCUAUCACCUCAUUUUCUCUCUUCCGAAAAUAGCUAAAAAAUCACCUCAAUUCUUCCCAUUUGCAAAGAAGAUUUACUCCAUUUAUAUUAAAAAAGGUUAGAUGCUCUUCAUAUCUUUUUUAAUAUUAAUGACUAAUAAUUCGAAAUGAAAAUUAUUUAUAUAUGUUGUUAAUUUUAAUAACUUUUGUGAUAUUAUUCUUGUAUAAGUUGAUAUCAUUAUAAGUCCUCAUAAAUAACGAAUAUAUAUAUUAUAUUUGUAUAUGUUGAUAGCAUUAAUUAAGUUUUGUAAUAUUAUUCUUGUAUGUGUAUGAUGAAAAUGGUAGUUAUUAGUUCAAAAAAAUCGUUGAAAUUUGCUUGAAUAAGUAGUAAUUAUUUUAUAAUCAUAUUAUUGUUGUUGUUAAUUGAUUCUUAUGUAGGUGGUCUUGAAAUAUGAAUAAUGACCGAUCUUGGAUGUAUGAGAGGAUUGAUGAUGGAGGAUUUUGAAAUUCUUUAUUUAUUUUCGGUGUGGAGGAAUUUAUGAAUUAUGCUAUAUCUCAGCCAACGUCUAUAGGAGGGACAAGUAUACAAUGUCCUUAUUCAAAGUGUAAGAAUCGAAAAUUAUGGAAUGGAGAUAUGGUGAAGCUACAUAUUUUGAAGAAUGGAUUCGUGAAAGAUUAUUAUGCAUGGAGUCGACAUGGGGAGUCAUACAUUUAUGAUGGAAAUGACGAACAUCCCUUAGCAAAUUAUACAAAUAUUUCACAGGGCACAGAUGGGAACAACUUAAUGUACAAUAUGGUUAUUGAUGCAGCUGGCCCCAGCUUUGAUCUGCAUAGUACAGAAGAGAUCCCAAAUGCAGCAGCACAAAAUAUAUACACCAUGUUAAAGUCUUCAGAACGAGACUUAUAUGAUGGCCGUAAAACUUCACAGUUGGCUGCCAUGGCUCAAAUGUUGAGUUUGAAAUCUGAUCAUCACUGGUCGGAGGCAUGUUAUGAUCAAACAUCACGAUUUGUCAAAGGUAUCAUGCCUGAAGACAACAUAUUCCUUGAUAGUUUCUGUAGCACAAAGAAACAUAUGGAAGGACUGUGUGUACCUUCCAUUCAUAUUGACUGUUGUGUUAAUGGGUGCAUGAUAUAUUGGAACGUAGACAUUGACAUGGACUCAUGCAAAUUUUGUUCUCAGCCAAGAUACAAGAUUAGAGUUAAUAGAUCUAAGAGAGAGAGAGAGAGAGAGAGAGAGAGAGAGAGAGAGAGAGAGAGAGAGAGAGAGAGAGAGAGAGAGAGAGAGAGUAGCUGCUCAAAAGAUGAUAUAUUUCCCACUCGCCCCCAGAUUUCAAAGGUUAUAUACAUCACGGACUACUGCAGCUCAUAUGAGAUGGCAUGCUGAUCAUUAUAAGGAAGAUGGUGCGAUGCAUCAUUGUUCAGAUUCAGAGGAGUGGAAGCAAUUUGAUAGAGCACAUCCAUUAUUUUCCUCAGAGAAGGUAAGAAAUGUGAGACUUGGACUUUCUAUUGAUGGAUUUCAGCCAUUUGGUAGUUCAGGCAAAAAAUAUUCUUCUUGGCCAAUUAUAGUGACUCUAUAUAACUUACCCCGUGGAUGUGUUCAAAAGAGGAGCACAUGUUUCUAUCCAAACUUUUACCUGGUCCGAGAAAUCCAAAGCAGAAGAGAGAUGUUUUUCUUCAACCAUUGAUUUUUGAGUUAAAAAUGCUAUGGGAAGUUGGCGUGGAGACAUGGGAUACUUCUUCAAAACAAAAUUUUCAGAUUCAAGCGGCAUUGAUGUGGAAUAUAAGUGUUAGGUCCCGAUAGAGAGUAAAUUAAGCUAGAAGGGGGGGGGGGGUUGAAUAGCUUAAUCACUAAUUUAAAAAUUGAUGUGGUGUAAUAAAAUUUAUCCCCUUUUUGAAUAGCUUUUAUCGAGAGUAUGAGCAGGUGUGCGGAAUCAAUGUAAGAGUAAUACGACACACGAGAUUUUAUCAUGGUUCGUGAUGGCUAACUCAACACUUGGAGUCCACUCACCCCUACUCCAGUCCCCGAGCUCCUCCCUGGACUCGAGAUUUUCUCUACCAUAAAGAAACUCCUUUACAGUAGGCGGAGAAGCCUUUACAAAUAUAUAUCUUGGAGCGUAACUCCCCGUUACCUCCUCACUAUAAAUGUAAACUUACAAGACUCAUCUUGGAGCGUAACUCCCCGUCACAUCCUCAAAGUCAUUGUACCCUGAGUGUAGUCUUUGAACUUCUAAACUUUUACUGGUCUUGGACAAAGGUCUUAGGUCUUGGGUCUUUCCUCUUCCUCACGGUGCGAAGACGACUAACUCCCCGUUAGAUCGUCUAGGAAUUGGGUCUUAGAACGAAGAUAACCUCACUUCACUUUUCCUCACUGCAAAACUUAGAAAACAAUAUUUACGAGAAAUAAUCCUUGUUUAUAAAAAGAGUUUUGGACUAGACACGACAAGGCCGAUAAUGGAUAUAUAUAUAUAUAUAUAUUUAAAGAAUACUUUCCGAAAGAUAUAGAUAGAUCUAAGUAUACUCUUCAACUUACUCCAAUACUAAAGAUGAGUAUUUGGUUGGAGUAAAGAAAGUCUUAUAAGCGUGCUUCGCUUUAGACUUUUUCAAGUAUUCUCGUGAUAUUGCAAAUUACGAAUACUUGUUAAUUUAAACUCCCCGUUGAAUAAUACUUAUAAAGAUCUUCGGAGUUUAAAUUGUCGUCUAUGGCUCAAGGGCUUACGACUUGGGUACUUGUCCUAUAUGACUAACUAUUGUUUAUUACUUCGUAUAUACGUCUAUAGUUGAAGUAAUAAAAUCAAGAAAGCUUUAUGGCGAGCUCUUUAGCUAUUAACUUUUCUUGAAACAACUAUUCUCGUAAUAUAGUCUUUUAGACUAAAUGAAGUCGAGAGAGUGUCUUUAACUUUAGCACAAUAUAAUGAGAUAACCAAACAAUCACAACAAUAUAAAUAUUAUACACUUUAAACAAAUAACAACAAUAAUGGUGUAUAAAGUAUAUAAAUAAGUUAGUUGGCUAAGUUAGUGCUAAGUAAAGUUGAAGAAUACUUUUUAGAUUUUCUUCCCACGGACACAAGGUGAUGGGCGGGAAUAGAAUCACACUAUAUAAAAUGUAUUUUGACCGUCGUCAAAUAUUAGCAUCGAUUUAGAGGUAUUACGAAUCUUUAGUUCAUAUUUAAACGUUUGAUACAAAUCGUUGUUCGUUUGUAACUAGGUAUAUAUUUGAGUUUGUAUAUUUCGAAUGAUAUAUUUGUUCUUGUGUAAUAUAACUCAAAUAUAACCAAUCUUAGUUCGUGUAUAUAUAUAAUGACUUUUUAGUUCGUGUAUAUAUAUUUCGAAUAACACGACUCCUUAGUUCGUGUUUGAAAUAAAUUCGAAACAAGAAAUCUCUUUUAUAAGAGAUAUAAGAUAAAGAGCUUUAAGAUGAAUAGAUCUACAAUAAUAACGAGCUCUUGUAUAUAUAAUGGUCGGUUAAGACUCCGAUAGAAGCUAAUAUAAUAACCACUUACGAAAACGAUCGGAAAGUUCGCCGGAAAAAUUCGCCGGAGUUUCGGUCGGAUUGUGGCUUUAUGGCGGAGCUUGGGCAGCCCUACGGAAGGCCUUAAGUAGUAGUGGUUGAGAGAGAGCUUGGUUGGUGGAACUAAGCUUAUACAACUAAAACCUUGUAUAUAUAAAUAUAUAUGUAUGAGAAUGGAGGUUUUAGAGAAGAAGUAUUUGUUGAGAGUGUUUGUAAAGAUGAAAGAGAGGAUACUUCAAAAAUUCCCAGCAACUAAUUGGCUCUUUAGCUUGUGUGAAAAAUGAAUGGGGAUGGGGUGGUAUUUAUAGGGAAAUUUAGGGUACUGGGGUGAUGUAAGAUGAUGUAAGGGAUGAUGUAAAUGGAGUGGGUGAGUUGAGAGAUGACUACAUGGUUUUUGUCUACUAGCGUUAGCAACAUGUGACUCAAAAUCUCAGCACUUAUUGCUUACUAAAAGUCAAGGUGCACACUCCAAUGCAAACUAAUUAACUAUUAAUUAACGAAUAAGUAUCGUUAAUUAAAUAUAGCUUAUCUCUAAACAUCUCCAAUAAAUCCAACCAAAAAUAUGAAAAAUUUAUAAAUAAUGGAAAAUGGAAAUCUGUGAAGUUUGGUAAUAUUUGGUCAAAGUUUCCUAGGUCAAACCCUCAGUCAAACCUUCUCGGGUCAACCUUUCUGAAACACACCCCGACAAACAUUCUCCAAAAAUCACGAAACUUUUAUCUAACAUACAUAAAAAUGAUAUCCCCAAAGUUUCAAGUCAUUAUAUCAAGUGGAAGUAUUUUAUCCGGAAUUAAAACGAUAAAAUACAAAAAUCCUUUUGUCGAUUUGUAAAACGUUUUUGGCUAUAAUUUUGACUUGAAUAAAUAAUAAAAAUAUAUUUCCUUGAGAAUAAAAUAGUUCGGAGUUUAUGGAAAUAUUUUUGAACAUUUAAAUUUAAUAACCUUCGAUAAAUAAGGAAAUAUAUGAAAACCGAGAAAAUUAGUAUUUGGUCAAAACGAGUAGACCCUUGACUAAUUUUUGAUACCAAAAUACUUAUAAUAAUAAGAAUCAUGGUUUUGAUAAUUUUACAGUGCAUUCUAAGUAUUAAAAAAAUUCUUCGAAAAAUAAGUAAUUUGAGAGACCUUGGAGAAAAUAUUUAAUAGACCAAGAAAAAUGAAUAUUAACAUUUGACUAUCAAAAUAUUAAUAAUUUGAUAGAGUAAAUCUUUAUUUUGGAUAUAAAGCAACUUUUGGAAUAAAAUAUUUAUUUUUGAAUAUUUAAAGAUAAUUUAUUCCGCAAAAUAAGAAAUUGAUAAAUCUGGGAAUAAAUUACUCUAAAUAAAAGAUUUUGAAAAUAAUGUUACAUGAGGAUUCUAAAAAAUAUCAAAUCUUGAUAAUCCUUUUUCGAACUUCAUGCGAGUUUAAUUUUACUAUAGGAAGAGGGAGAAAAAUCUUAGAGUAGCGAUAUUCCUCAGCAUGACUAUUGCUUGAAUAUAUAUUUCUUAAAAAUAGGUAUUUUGACACAAAGAUAUAUAAAAUGAUUUUUCAAAUAAUUGAUAGAAAUAACUUUUUCAUUUAAAGUUGGUGGGCUUAGAUAUCUCGUCCAUACUCGCCCGGACAUUACAUAUUCAGUUGGUAUAGUAAGUAGGUACAUGGAGAGACCUACUGUCAUGCAUCUAAACGCAGUUAAGAGAAUUCUUCGCUACAUAAAAGGCACACUCGAAUUUGGGUUGGUUUAUUUAAAAGAUGGUGGUAACAACAUGUUGUCAGGAUAUUCCAAUAGUGAUCUUGCAGGCAACACGGAUGAUAGAAGAAGCACGGGGGGCAUGGAAUUUUAUCUCAAUGAGAGUUUGGUAACGUGGGUGUCUCAGAAACAGCGAUGUGUUGCAUUGUCAUCGUGUGAGGCUGAGUUCAUGGCAGCCACUUCAGCUGCGUGUCAGGGAAUUUGGUUGCGAAAUGUCUUGAAGCAAGUGACAGAUGAAGAUAUUGGUCCAGUGGUGAUUUACUUGGAUAACAGGUCAGCGAUUGAUUUAGCCAAAAAUCCAGUCUUCCACGGGAGAAGCGAGCAUAUCGAUAUUCGAUAUCAUUUUAUAAGAGAAUGUGUUGAAAGGGGGGAGAUCAUUGUGAAGCAUGUGUGUAGUGAAAAGCAGCGAGCUGAUUGUCUGACUAAACCAUUGGAUGUAGUUAAGUUUGAACGAAUGAGGAACUUGUGGGGCAUUAAGGAUUUGAUCAGACAAGUCUGAGAUUACGGGGGAGAUUGUUGCGUAUUAAUCUCAUACUUGUCAUUUGUCAUUGUCGUUUUAUUUUAGCUGAAGACUAAGUCAGUCACUUAGUUGAGAGUUUUUAGGAUACAUGUUUAAUAAACGUUAAAGUCAGAGUCAUGGUAGGAGAAGUAGUUGAGCACGUUGUUCAUUUCCUUGUUUUUAGAUAGCAGUUUCUUUUUGUUUUGCAUCAGCUAUAUAUGUAAGUUUUUGAGGAAAUAAAAGUGAAGUCUUUUGGACACCCAAUACUUGCUUUGUUUAUCAGUUUUACAAUACACAGUUUAUAUAAAUAUAGAAAUAUACACUCUGUAUUACAAUAUAUUUAACAGUAGUACAAAAAUUGUAAUAACGAUUAAAUUGCGAGUAUACACAAAGUGAUAGUUCUUUAAAGUGAAUAGUUCAAGUGGUCUUCCGCCUAAGAGAGUACACAUAGUGUACUUUACCCUCAAAUGAAUAUGGGACACGUCAUAAAUUUUUUGAGAUGCUGUUAUAUCCAUAUAAUAGUAAAGAAAUAGAUAUGUAAUCAUUUUUUUAUUGUCUUAACAUAAAUGUGAAAUGUAAGAUUAUAAAAAAAUAAUUGAAGGGAGGUCUUAAAGCUUAUAAUAUGUCAUGCAUCUGAUAAAAUAAAUAAUAUAAAUUUGUUUCUUUUUAUUUUUUCACCUUGAUGAUUUUAAAUUGCAAUUAUCAGCAACAAUGUCAAGGGCGGAACCACAACAAAGGCUAUGGUGGGCUUUAGCCUAGGUAAAAAAAAUAUCCUAAAAUUUUCUAUUACUCAGCCCAAAAGUUUAGGAGUUAGCCCAACCCAUUAUAUAAUUUUUAUGGGAUGAUACAACAGACAUAUACCGACUCCCGUGGCUUGAAAAACAAAACAGAGCACUCAAAUUAUAUAAACAGUUUCCAAUCCGCAUGUUCUACUGCUGGUUUGGUCUUUGAAUGUUGAUAUGCUGGUUUUGGAUGUUGGUUUAUGCCGCUGCAGCCUACAAUCAGCAAGCAGUUUUUAUAUUAUGUGUUAGGAAUAUGUCCAACUUGAUGAUAAUACUCAAAACACUUAAUAGAAAUAGGUAUAAGUUAAAAUAUAGCCAUCAACGGAUACCACUUAGUACAAACAUCCGUUGAUGGAGUAGCUUAUAUUUUAAUAAGAUUUUUGUAGCACAUUUCUGUAACUCUCAAUAAAGUAGAAACUUCACCUUAGUUGAUUAUUCAAGUCAUGUUGACUUACUUAGAUUGAUAGGCAAAAUAGGUUGGUGAAUUGUAAAUAUUAGUAUGCCUUGUAAUUUUGUCUAAGUGAAGCAGUGUCAACGGAUAAGAGUGGAUCAACGGAUAAAGGAUUGUUAUCUCUACAUCAACGGAUAAGGUCUAAACAUCUCAUCAACGGAUAAAGUCUCUAGACUAUGCAUCGACGGAUAAAGCUGUGUAAUAAGCCAUCAACGGGUAAUUGAGCAUCAACGGAUAAAAGCUUAGCACAGAAAUAGAAGUUGAUGGUGACUUGACCUUAGCAGUUGACUGAGUUACAAAAAGAAUGUGGCAGCCUCUUUGCAAGUCUAGAAGAAAGAAAACACUUCCAAUUUGAUACAAGAGUCUCAGAUUCAAAGAUGCUCAAACAUUGGAGACUGUAUUAACAGAGAAGUGAAGCAACAUGUGAAGACUUUCAAGUUGUAUUUUUGUUUGUACUUCACGUGUAAACUUUGGUGUUAUAUAAACCAAAGUAGUAGCAAGUUAGAUAAGUGAGAAAAUAGUUUUAGUGAAUAUCUUUCUUGUAUUUUCUCUCUCAAACUUGUAAGCAGCUAGCACUACAAGAAAAAGGUUAAUAGACAUCGGUUUUUGACCGAUGUCUUUGUCGGUGAUGUAUGUAUAUCGACAUCGGUCAAAAACCGAUGUCUAUAAUUUUAUUAGACAUCACAUAUAACUAUUUUGACGAUGUUCAUGCAAUGAUUAUUUACAAAACAUGUUAGGGAUAAAUGAGUUUAUAAUCAAGUUAUUAUAUGACAUUACACAUACAAGGUGCCAUGAAUUUUGCCACACAUACAUCAUGUAUUCUCUUGAAAGUGAUGUUAAUGAUAUUUUUCGACAUCGUUUAUGUUUAAACAUGUGAUGUCUAUUUAUCUAGAAGUCAUCAGCUUUGAUAAAUUAAAACCGAUGUCUUAUAUGUUCUUUAACAUCACUUUUGGUUUAAUAUAAGUGAUGUAUGUCGCUAUUUUAGACAUCAGUUUUGGAUUAGUAAAAGUGAUUUAUGCAACCUUUUUGACAUCAAUUUAGUUUCGAUAAAAGUGAUGUAUAUUUGGACUUUACUGAAACAAAUCUGAAACUUCGUAAGUAUAUGUAGCCAAAAAUUCAAUCAACCAACCAUUCAAUUUAUACAUUAACCAACAGCACCUAUCAGAUCUGCAAAAUAAAUCAAAAUAACUACCACGUUCAUCCUUAACAAUUCAAUCUGAAAACACAAAAUCACUAGCAAUUCGAUCAAUCCGGAAAAAUAUACCAAAAUACAAACUACCGACCUACCACUAUUAUUUAACUGAAGUGUUCCGAUAGUACAAAUUGAAUGACCUUAAUUAAUUAUGUACCAAACAUAAGGCUAUCACUAGAAACUUUCUAAAUUAACAUUUUACUAUAACCGACUGUUUUCGACGGUAAAUUUUAUUCUAUUUUUUUGUAACCUGAUGACGGCCAUUCUUCACAAUAUUUUAUUCCUAAGUAAUAUAUGAAGUUGUUUGGUUUAUUGUAAAAUAAGUACGUGCUAGCCUAUAAUAUUUGCAAUUCUGUAUUUAAAUAUUAAUAAUUUUUUUAUAUAUAUCUAAAUUAAUAAUUUAACAGUUAUAAUGUAUUGUAUCGGACUAAAACCAAAACCAACUUUUUUCAUAUUUAUCCUUAAAAACAUAGAAUAUUGUUUAUAACUUAUAAUUGAGAAUUCACUUAAUUAUAAGUGAAAUACUGUAUAACUUAAUUUAUGUGUUUCGUUAACUUUUUAAUAUUUUGCUUAUCAAUCAAAAGUUAAAUAAUAAAUUAUUUAUACAAAUAUUAUUCAUAAUUAAUUUUGACUUGUAAGAGUCUGACGAACGGACACCAUAUCGACUUAUUUCCCAAAAUUAAAAUAUUCUGUAUCUGACUUCUCGAGCUGUUUGUAUACUCCAUUCUCUGUUUCAAUCUCUUCUUUUCUCUAUUUCUUUUAUUUUGCGAACUUUCUAAUGAUUAUAUUUUUCCUAAUGAAAACCCAUAAAAGUUAAUUAAGUGGAUUGAGUAACCCAUAAAUUUCUUUAAAUUUACACAUACGAGAUCAAACUUUCCGCUAAUUAACAUUUCAUAUUUUCGAAGAUUCCAAAAAAAAAAAAAAACUGAACCGAGUUGACAUAACUAAUUCUAUCUCCCACCAGCUUCGGCCGGUUACAAUUUCCAACACCGCGGUAACUGCAUGUUUCCACCACCACUCCCGGCGGCGAUCUUUGUCUUAACGGACUCGAAUUCGGAUAUCCGGCAAGGAAUUUGGAUCCCACCCGGGUGAUCAAACCCAUAUAUCUUCUCCGCUUCUUUCAACAAUCUCCCAAACAAGGGAUGGUUAAAAUACACUAAUGGCACCAAAACCCUACAUGCAUCAUCUUCUUUUUCUCCAACAUAUAUUGCCAGGUGCCCUCUAGGCACCCUAUAACCCGGGUGGGUCGCUUCCGGGUCUUGACCCACCCGGAUGUACUCCGACCUAUUUUUCGGAAAACAAAGACGUCUAGCACCUUGUUUUAGCAACUUCAUCCAACUACAAAGCUUCGGCUUACCUUGUUUCGGGUUCGGGUCGGGUUGUCUUAAACGCUCGAAUGACAUAGACCUCGAUUGUUUACUGGCUUUAAUCCAUUUAAAGAUCUUUCCGAACCGUUGACCGACCCGAAAUCCUUUGACUUUCUGCAUGGUCUAGGUGUAGUCGUUGAAAUUAUUUCUGAAAUGGUUGAGUGAGAAAAUGCAGGAAGGUUUGGCGUCUGUGGUUCUUGAUGGACUGAAAAGCUACUUAUAUACACAUGAAAAAAGUGCGAAUGUUAUUUAAAAUGAGUGGAUUGUAGCAAGUUGAACAUGUUAGGCGGGGAGUGGUCGGCACACGGUCAGGGCCACAACUCUGCGUGGACUGUGCUCUUUCUGUGGUUGUACAAGAUUUUGAGAUCCGAAACACAAUGACACGUAUUGCAUCGAAUCUGUUUUUAUUUCCGAAUCGGCCGUUUUAUUACUUCAUCACACUGGAUUCUUUACCUUACUUUUUGACACGCAUUUGAGACAUCACUAAAAUAUCUUUAAAAUAUGUGCAAGAAGUGUACGUAAACAAUUUGGCGGGACGGAAUUAGUAUGUUUUAAUACUUUUUAGGGUGAGCUACGGUCGAAACCAGAUAUCCCGGACCAAUAUAUGUUUUGUUCUGAUUUGUUUGAAUUUUACCAACUCGAAUUUUAGGAUACUUAUCUGGUUUCGGAUUUGAUUUAUUUGAAUUUUUACCAUUCCUAAAUUUAUAUAUAAAUUUCGAGUUAUGUGUCGAGUUAUGAAUUUUUACCAUUCCUAAAUUUAUACUCCCUCUGUCCCAAUUAAUUGUAUACGAUUUCCUUUUUGGGACGUCUCACUAAUUGUAUACAUUUCAAAAGUAGUAAAUUUUUAUAAUAUAAAACAUCAUUUCACCAACUACUUUCUUCCACUAUCUCCAUUCUUUUUAUAUACAAAUGGCUGGGACGGAGGGAGUAUAUAAAUUCGAGUGAAUGAGUGACUAAGAUCAAAUUUAGCCACCAUAAGCCGACACAUGACACCUAGCUUAUUAGAAUCUUUCUUCAACUAAACAAAAUAUAUAAUUGUAAGAGAUUCUACUUAAACAAAUCAAAAUUUGCAUGCUAAUUAACAACCAGAUUGAAGACACGGUGACAUGAGUGUUUCUUUAAUUCCAGUUUGUUUCAACACCACCAUGCACGGAUCUAACACUCGGUGCAGUUAACGCGAAUUACUCCAUAAUGUUUGUUAAUAUCGUGCUAAUGAGACAUCGGUUUUGCUAUUUUUAAGAUGUUUGUCAUGAACUGCUCUAAAUAUCUUUAAUUAAAGUUUUCCAUGAAUUUUUUGCAGAAUCAUAUUCAGGUGCCCUAUGAGUAGGUAGCUUCCGGAUAACUUUUUCACAUUUGGAAGCAGGAUGGGCAUUAAUCCCCAUCCGCCCCAUCUUCGCCUGAUCUCCGCACCGAUGAUCAGGGGAUUUGGGGAUUUUUUCUGGUACGGGUCGGGGGAACGGAGAUGACUUUGAAACAAAAAUUAGGGAUAGGGUCGGGUACGAUUUUUCACAUUUCCCUGAUCUUGAACCCCAACCCGAUUUUCCCCAAAUAUCGGCCCAAUCCCCGACCCGAUUAUUAUAUAUAUAUAUAUAUAUAUAUAUAUAUAUAUAUAUAUAUAUAUAUUAUGAUCAUUUAUUAAUAUGUUUAUAUACUUCUUUAGGUGCAACUUCAGUUCACACAUGUUUAUUGAUUUAGGAGAAAAUUAUUUUGAUUAAAAUUAAUCUAGCGUCAUCACAUUCAGAGGACAAGUACUAAACCACCUUCACAAGACAAUUACUUUGAUUGGAGUCUAAAAGCAACUCCAAUCUUUUAAAAUCCAUGUUUAAGGUAAAAUUUAUCAAUAUAUAACAUAAUAAAAUAUAGGGCGAUUAUGUAAAAAAAAAUUAAAUUUCAAUAAGACAUUUCUCUCUAAUUAUUAUAAAUCUUAUGAUAUUGUCAAUAUUUGACUAUUUAUAAAUACUAGCCUUUAACCCGUGCAAAGCACGGGCGCUUAUAUAACUCGUAAUUUAUUAAUUAUAAUUUAAAUCUUAACACCAUUUUAUUAGUAUUUUAGUAUUAAUAAUUUGGAUUUUAGUUAAAUUAUAUUAACCAACUGAUUAUAUCUUCUAACGGAAAUUUAGCUUUCACAAUUUAUUAUCUAUCUAUAAUUAUUUUUCUGAUAUUAAUAUGUGAUAGUUUAUUAUUCAAUUAAUUUUAAAUCAAAAUUUUCAUAUUUCAUAUAUCUUCAUAUGUUACGUAAUGGUUCGUGUUUGUAAUGAAAUAGAACACGUUAGAGUUAAAUUUCGAGUAGAAUACGUUAUAAUUAAAAAGUAGCGUCUCUAAUUAUUUAUAUGUAUUUUAGACAAAAGAUAUUCAAAAUUGUAUAUUUAUAAUUAGUUAUACAUUUAUCUAUAAAUUUUUUUUAAUAUUAAUAUAUGUUAUUAACAGUAGUUUCAUCUUUUUCAACUAAUUAUAAAUUAUAUUUAAAAAGAUAUUAAUAUACACAAGGAGUGUUUUUAGUAUAUGAAACUGUUUAAUAGCUAUCUACAUGUUGUAGACUUUUAGUUUUAGAGGAGAGUACCAAACCAAAAUUUUGUACGACUACAAAUUAUACCUAUGUUGGCUUUUUAUAGUAUAGUAUAGAAUAGCUAUCUACAUGUUGUAGACUUUUAGUUUUAGAGGAGAGUACCAAACCAAAAUUUUGUACGACUACAAAUUAUACCUAUGUUGGCUUUUUAUAGUAUAGUAUAGAUAGUCAACCUUUUGUGUGUAGGUUGUAUUUGGCCGAUAAAGGACUAGAUUUGACCUUAUCUGUUAUUAUAUUAAGUAAUAUAUUUAUUUAUUUAUAAUAAACUUAAAUAAUAAUUAUAUAUUAUUUUAAAAUAUAAUAAAUAAUAUAUUCACUACCAUCUCAAAAAGUAUCUUGUAAAUGAGAAACGUUGACAAAGACAAAAAAGUUAUAAAUUAAAUGAGAAUUAUAUCCAACAUAGUUCUAACAUUAUUGAAAAAUACCCUAAUCAGAUUCAGGUUUUAACAUAUAUAAAUUUCGGCAUCAUCGAUACUGUGAAAAGGUGAGACUAGAGGUGGCAAUCGUUUCGUUUCGUGUACUUUCAUUUCGUGUAUUUUCGUGUUUCGUGUACUCGAAGGUGAAACCCGUAUCCGUCCGUUAUUAAUUUCGUGUACCUAAUUUGAAACCCGUAUCCGUUUCGAAUCGUUUCGUGUAUAUUUCGUGUACUUUUCGUGUAUAUUAUAUAUAUAAAUAUUAAUAUAUUUUUUAAUCAAAAAAUGGAUUUAAUAUAUAUUUUCCUUUAUAAAUUUAUUAAAUGUGAAUGAUAUAUAUUAUACUUGUAUACAAUUCUUUAUAAAUUUGUUAAUGUAUCUACAAUAUAUAUCCACACAUACAUAUAAAUAUAUACUUUAUACUCAAUUAUAUAUUUAAUAUAUCAUUACAUAUAUAUAAUAUAUAUAAUCUACAAAUAUUUCGUGUACUUUCGUGUAUUUCGUGUACCCCAAAUGAAAACCCAUAUCCGACACGAAAUCUAUCGUGUAAUUUCGUGUUCGUGUACUUUCGUGUUUCGUGUAUCGAAAAUCAAAACCCGUAUCCAUUUUUUUCGUGUCGUUUCGUUUCGUGUUAGCGUGUUACGUGUCAAAUUGCCAGGCCUAGGUGAGACAGCUGGGUUCUUUACCUAGCUUCCUGGAACAUGCCCGUAUCAUUCGUUUAUCUAUCUGGAAAAGAUAAAUUUCAACACCACUUGCGUGCUCCUCUAUUUCAGUGCAUAGUUUUUAAUUUUUGUCCGACCAACUUGACGUGUAUAAAAGCAAAUUUAAAUUUAAUUAGAUACUUCCUAUCCUUUUUUAUUGUUAGGUUUCUGUUUUUAUUGAUUAAAUUGACUAAUCGAAAAUUAUAAAUCACAUUUUCAUUAUUUUAAAAAACUAAAAAUUACAUGUUUAAGUUGUUUAAAAGGUUAUUUUCGAUGACAUAUUCUUUUUGUUUUUUCAAUUGAUAUAAUGUUAAUAAAUUUUUGUCAAAUUUUGGUUAAUUUGACCGGGACAAAACCAAAUCUGACAAAUAAAAAGGGACGGAUGGUGUGAUAUAAGCUCUUGAUUAAAUGUUUCCUUUAACGAAAUAUGCAAAAUUUCAUUUUAGUGCUUGAUAAUUGCCUCUCUCUCCGUACUAUAUAAUACUAUUAAAAUCAAAAUAUUAAAAGUUUAUUAACAGACCGCUACUUCUAGUAAUUCCAUUUCUAAAAAUGAUAAUCUUCAUGUUUUCUAUCUUCAUGUUUUCUAUUUUAUGUAAUUUAAAAUAAACUUGCAUAAUUAUUCAAUUAAGGAGCCUAAAUAUGAUUAUCCAGUUUGUAUUACUUCUAUAAUAUCCCUAUAAGCGUGCGUACGUGUGUGUAUAUAUAUAUAUCAACUGGAUUAUAUGCAUGCGUCUCGGAUGCAGCUCACACACUGAUGCAAUUUAUAAUAAUAUUUUUUUUUAUGAUGUUGCAUGCCUACAUAUUCUUAAUUCUGAUAAUGAGUUAGUUGUCUGGUCAAACAACUACAACAUCAUCGUAAUCCUACAUUAGGUUUUGUUGGUGUCCUGACCACAGGAACAAUGUAGGUUACAGUAUUUGUCUCUUUUCACCAGUCGAAUUGUCUUGAUCGGUCUUUCCAAGAAUCUAGCUCAGGGUCAUUCUUACACCCUGCUCCUGAGUUUUAAAAAGGGAGGAAAGCAAGUGAAGAGGAAUUAAAGUUAUCUAACUUUCACUCCUACUCGUGCUCCCGAGUUUUUUAAAAGGAGGAAGGCGAGUGAAAGUGAGUGAAAAUAUAGCAUACUUUCACUCCAAAAAACUUUCACUCCAAAAGUGGGAUGAAAGUGAAAGCACACUUUUAAACUACGAAUAAGGUUAUGUAAAUCAGAAACUAUUUUACAUGGUUGUGCAUUUAGAUUUUGAGUAUUUAUAUCAACUCCAGAGUAUUAGGCAGAAACGUUCAAUUAAUUUCUACGUACGAUACUCAAAUGUGUUGAGAUAUUUUUUUUGAAAUGCCAAAUAUUUAUAUUUUUAAUCAAAACAUAUUUAAAUUGUUGAAAUAAUCUUGAACUUAGUUAUUACUUAUUUGUUUUGUUUAAUUAGCAAUAUAAAGCCCAUGUAUUUGUUUUUAAACCGGAGGUGACUAAUUAAGUCAGUUUAGUUUUGGUAAGAGUUUAGUGGAGUAGUGCUCGCAGUUUCAAUGAGUCGGGAAGUUGCUGGUUUAGCUCCUAGUUUUUAGCCACCACUCUGGGUGUGCGUUGAGUAUAUAUUUGCAUGUAUUUGUUUCAAUUUUUAUUAUCAAUAUUUGGUAUCAGAGCAGGUGAGGUGCUCAUCAGCCAUCAGUGAUGGUGAAGCCACUGUUGACGUAUGUUUGAGUGACCGCUGGGUGGCUGUGCUGUAAAGAAGAAAGCUACUGCACGCAGUGGCAUGAUGGUGGCGAACAUGCAUGUGUAGUAUGGGAUGCAUGUGUAGUAUGUGGCUGUCGAGAAAGACGAGAUGAGCCGUGUAAGAGAGGGAGUUCUUUGGACUUCGAAGACUCUAUGGUCUCGAGUAGAAGAUGCAACAGAGUGGUUGCAGCACAGAAGGAGACAGGCAAGAUUGUCAUGGCCCAGGCCCAAGUGACGAGGGGCUGUCAUGGAGGGGUCGGAGAAUGGAUAUCAAUCCAGUGAGUGGAGGUGUUGUGUUAAAUUAUAAUUAACCGCAAGCGUACGGUGUCUGUUGUAGUGCAGACUGACAAAUGCGGGUCGUAUCCUCAAGUAAACAGAAGUUACCAAUUUUAUUCAGUUAUAUUCAAUUGUUUCCAGAACAAAACAAUUAUUGAAUAAAUUUUAACUAACUAAAUAACACUAACUAAAAAGACACUAAAUUAAUAUAUUUAAAACCUAGGUCAAACAGGUCCACCAUGCUUACACAAUAAUUAGCUCUAAGCUAAAGCAAUUAAAGUGAUCAUGCAACUAGAGUUUCUUAAUCUCUCUCAAGUAUCAACACUCUCAAAACAUUCUUACACAAAUAAUCACUUUUAGUAAUUCAGCUAAUCAGGUAAUUAAAGCAAUGUUAAUCACUCUCGAGUAUUAACCCUCUCAGAAAUCUAAUGAUGCUCUCGCAUUCAAAUUCAAUCCUACUUAUUGUAAGUGUGCCUCUAGUAGUAUAUCUCUCGUAUACUUCUGUUCGCAAAAAAUCAACUCAUGAUAUCGGCCAAUCACACAAAUCAAUAUUAAAACAUAUCAAUUAGAAUUGCCACAACAUAUCAAAUCACUAUAAAAAUCAUGCCAAUAUAAUAGUGCAAAUAUGGCUUCCCUUUAAGCCCUAGAAUACACUACUCGAUACUAUUUAAACAAGUAAAACAACUAAGAGUAUCUCCAAGUAUGAAAAGCCCUUAGCCAAAAGUCUAGUUGACUUAACAAAAUUAAAAAUUAUGGCCAGUGUCUACAAAAAACAGCACUCCAACGGUUAAAUAAAUACCCAAAAACCUAAUCAUAUUUUUUAAAUUGCUCAAAUCUUUUGUUGAGCGAAGAUAGAGCAGUAUCAACAAUGUGUAAAAAGUAAUUAACACGAAAAAAAUCUUCAGCAACUUGAAUUGGCUCAUCACUUGUACUCUCAUCAAUGAACCUCUUUUUUCUACGAACACGAGUUUCACGAAAAGUUGGUUCCACCCCCAUUUCUAGAGCAAUCUUUCCAGCUUCAUCUUUUGCAUUUUUGAAACCAUUGUUCCUGUACUCUUCAAAAAAGUGUAUAAGACGUUGUAAUAGAGUAAUACAUGCAUCAAUAUCCAUAUCCUUACUUUGGAGAAUUUUACUAACUUUAUUCACUUUCUGUAGAAUCUUAAACCAAAUAACCAUGCCCACAAGAAAAUCAAAGUUUUGAAGAUCAAAAUUAACUAAAGAACUUGCAUCACUUGUGGUGGUGGCAUCAACACUAUGUUCAACUAGAUGAAGUAACGCAUCUCUUAUUUGUGGAACUUGGAAUCUUAUUGCCUUGACGCUAGAAAUACGACUUUCCCACCGUGUAUCCGACCAUGACUUUAAUGCAAGCCCAUUCCCAUUUUUAUCCUUCACAUAAGAUUUAAGAACCUCCCAUCGUUUUGUAGAACCAUAAAAUAAUUUAUAAAUUCGUUGUACCACUCCAAAAAAAGAUUUAGCUUGAAUUGAACUCAUUGCCAUAUCACAAAGUGCAAGAUUAAGAGAGUGACAACCACAUGGAGAGUAAAAUGCCCUAGGAUAUUCUCUUAACACCCUAGCACUUACACCUUUGUAUUGUCCUUUCAUAUUUGAACCAUUGUCGUAGCCCUGCCCUCUCAUAUCAGUGAGAUCAAGUUUCAAAUCUCUAAGAGAUUCUUUAAGUUGAAUGAAAAGUGCAUCUCCAGUUGUUUCACUAACCUUCACAAAUUCAAUAAAAAACUCUUCCACUGAAAUUGGAGUAGUAGAAAUAUCAACACAUCUUAUUAUAAGACUCAUUUGUUCUUCAUGACUAAUGUCAGGAGUACAGUCAAGAAUAACAGAAUAAUAUUUAGCUCCCUUCACAGUAGAAAUAAUUUUUUUCUUGAGUUCAGUGGCCAACAGAAGUAUUAGUUCGUUUUGGAUGUUAUGGCCAAGAUAAUGAACACGAUGUAUCUCUUUCUUUCGAAUACGCCUAAGGUGCUCUUCCAUUAUUGGGUCAAACUCAGCAAUCAUUCGAAUUAUACUUAAAAAAUUUCCACUAUUAUCAUCAUCGAGUUUUCCACUCCUCCCACGAAAAGCCAAAUUACUACUAGCAAGAGUUUUAAUAACACACGUGAUUCUCUUCAAAACUUCACCCCAAUAUUUUUUUUCUUCAGCUAUGAUUUUUUGAUUAUAAGAAUCAAUUGUCAACUUCUUUUUCAACCUUGUUUCUAACUCCAUCCAAUCUGUCAAACUAUUUAAAUGAUUGUUACUCUUUUCAUGCUCAUCUAGCCUAGAGUAGAUAUUUUUCCAAUCAUUAUAUCCCAUAGUUGCUGUUGUUAAAGGACUUGAUACAACCUUUUCCUUUUUAAAUAGCACGCAACAAAAACAGAACACCUUAUCUAUCUUCCGAGAGUACACAAGCCAUGACCUAUCAAGUUUUUCUCCAUUCAGUAAAGAUCGGGUGUAGUGUUUGUUACGAAAACUCCUAUUUUGUUCAUUAACAGGAUAUGCUUCCUCCAAAACUCUUAUUGAACCCUUUUCUACCAAAAAAUCAAUCUUUCUUUGUGACAUAUUCUUCUCCCAAUUUCCCGGAUCAAUCAAAUCACUUAAAUUUUCAUCCAUAGAAAUAUCAGGCAAAACAUCACUAUUCAUGUUAUUCAAAUUUUCAGCCAAAUGUUCAUCAGCAGUUAUAUCAUUAAAAUUUUCAUCCACAAAAUUCUCAGGAAAAUUAGUAUCAACAUUCAAGUCAUUGAUAUUUUCAUCCACUAACUUCUCAGGCAAAUUAUCAUUAACAGUGACAUUCUCACUUGAAUUACCCAAUAUAUUGAUAGGUUUCACAUACCUAUCCAUAGAUCCUUGUAAAGAUUGUGUGAGUUUGUUUUGCAUCUCUUUUUUCUUUCUCUUGAAACAUCCUGAAUCAUGCUUCCUUUUACCCGUCAUUAUGCUAACACCUGUAAUAUACUACAAAGAAUCAAAAAUAUGUAGUAUAUAGUAUAGUAAAUUAAUUUUGAAUUAAAAAUCUCAAAGUAGAGAAGAAUUAAAGAGAUCACUAUAUAUUACCUUUGCUGGCUUGCUGCUCUGGUUCUAUAUCUGCUCAAUUGAGCGUAUUAGGUUUUCUACCUUUUUGGAUAUAUUAAAGACUUAAAGUGAUUUAAAAUAUUGAAAAACAUUAUAUUUUAUUGAGCUUUUAUCUAUUUUUUAUUCUAUUACAUGGGCCUAAAGUUAAAGGACUGUAUAUAUAGGAGGCCCCUGUAUGGAUGGAGGCCCUAGGCAAAUGAUUGGGGAGACUCCCCCUGGAGACGCCUCUGCUCCAACCAUAGCAAGCCCUUGUCUAUAAUUAUAGCCAUCCCCUUGUGGAUGACUAUAUUUGUCGAAACACUACAGAUCUGUAGUGAAUUCCACGUCAUCUACCGCAGUUUAUUAUCCUCCUUCCCGCUGAUUACAAAUUAUUUAUUACCAUAUUAAACUGAUAUAUUCUAUUUUUAACAAUAUAAAUAUUAAUAACAUACUAUUUUUAUAUUAUAGCCAAUACCAUUGAAGCACAAUGUCUUACAGGUUCAGCAAGUUUUACAUAAUGUCUUACAGGUCCAAUUUAGCCAACGAUUAUAGCCAACGUCAUUGGAGAUUCUCUAAUAAAAUCAAAGAAAACAUAAUAAAACUAACAAGAGAAAAGAAGAAAACUACAUAAUGAAACUUUUAACCUUCAUUGUUGUCAUCCAAGAAAAGUUUUAGUCUCUCCAUAAGUCUCUCUAAUCAAACCCUGAUUCUAAUCUAAUAUUAUACCAAAAUAAAAACUAAUCAUAUCUCAAAUAAUAAAAGUAUUUUAAUAUUGAAAACAAUAAACAAAUAGAAAUCCAAAUUCAAGUAGGAUUCUCUCUCAUAAUUUGUAACUUUCUUUACUGCUCUUUACCUAUUGAACCUUACUUUUGGACCACUUCUGAAUUAAAAGAAAUUUCAUAAGUUUCGCGUGGGCUGUAAGAUCGUCCAAAUCCGACAUCCGGAACUCUAGCCCAAAUAGUGCACAAAUCGGGUAGAACCCAACAUAAAUCCGAAUUUUAAUAGAAUUUAGCUCCAAAAUAGCUAAUUUUCUUCAAAUUCAUCUCAACUUGGAAUUCUUUAUUCCCUACAAUAAAACAUGAAAAUAUAUUAAAUAUCCAAAUCAGUGCAAAAUCUUCAUAUAUAUGAGAAUAAAAUCAGACAGAAUAUAUAUAAAAAUAUAUACUAUCAGGAGGUUGAGACCUCGAAAUUGCGGAGGUAGAGACCUCAAUAUUAAGCAUACUCAUGAGCCCCAAUCGGGACUGAUCAUGAGCCUUCAUGUCUUCAUCAUCCUCUGAUGAGGUGAGGGAACCCAAACAUCUUCUGUUGGGGUGAGGGAACCCAAAUUAGGGGGCGUAGACCUAGAGAGAGUGCCCACAAGAGACUUAGUGAAUAAAAUGGAUAACCUAUUAGAUGAGGCCAGCUUGUAGUAAUGAUGAUGAGACAUGAGAGCCCAGCUGAAAAAUGAGCCCUAGAAUGAUGACCCCUAGACUACCGGUCCUGAUCAUAGCGAGGCCAACGUAAUGAGGCCAAGAGAUAGCGAACCCAAGGCUCAUUGUUGAUUCUCAUAAUGACCCCUAGGGUGAUGACCUCUAGGAUGAUGACCCCUAGGGCGGUGACCGUGGGGUGAUGACCCCUACGAUGAUGACCCUACAGAAUUAAUCCUUUAAGUCUUCAUAAAUCUUUUAAGUAUAAUGAGAGGUGGACUUGUAGAAUAAGAACUUGGUCCAAUUCCCAUUUUGAGUUUGAGAGCAAAUAAUUUCAUUAAUAGAAGUUAGUAGUACCUAAAUCAACUAUAAUAAAUAUUAAAAAUUCACAAAUUAAAUCCAAACUUUGGCCACCGCCAGUUCUUCAGAAUUUACAAAUAAAAUACAAAAUUUGUGAAGUGAAUACGAGAACACUGGAGAAUCGCAACACCUCUAGGCAUUAUCCCAUAUGUAGAGCUUAUCUUCUACCCUGGCCACAGGAGGUAGCGGCAGAUCAUUUACCAGAUAAACUCUGGCUUAAAGUCUUCUGCGGAUAAAUUUGCAAUUGAGCACUUGCACUAUCUGAAGAUUUGUCAAGUUACCGAUGCUUGGAGAAGGAAUGCCAAAUAAACUCUGGCUUGGAGUUCCUCUGCAGAUAAUAAUAACCAAAAAAAAAUAUUUACCUCAUUGUACUAACAUUACUAUCUACACAAUCUGUCACAGUAUGAAUAAUUACUACCAUUCAGAACUAUAAGAAAAAUUUCAUGCAUUUAACAAGAAUUAAGUUUGCUGAAUUUCAUGAAACUAAAAGCAAGCAGAAUUAAGGAAGAACAUACAUGCCAACGACAAGAUAAUCAGGUGAAUAGGUGACCGUUGUCCAGCUACAUGGAUCAGCUGCAUCAGAAUCCCACUUAGCUAAAACCCCAUGAGGAUCCUUCAAAGCAGCUUUAAUACUCAUCAAAGCUUGCACUGUAGUAAUUGUAUAAUAAAAAAGAAAUUAAUUACCUUCAACAUUGACUCCUUUAGCAGAAGUCCAUAAGCUCAGGUAAAUCACAAAACAAAACACAUGAGAUAAAGGAAUAUUAUUGAAUAAUGAAGAACAUCCAUAUUUUUAGUAAAUUUAAUAUUAAAUAAAAACCACUAAUUUAUAUAUGGUUCAAAAAGAUUAUUUGUUAACUACCAUUAGAUAGUAAUGAUGUAUAAUUUAUUUUCUAAUUUUGUAUGUCAUCCUGUAAGUAUAAAUAGGUUCAUACAAAUUGUUGUAAUCAAGUUGAAGAGAUAUAUAUUUUUACAUAUAUUUUAUACUCUUUUAUCUUCUCAGCACUAUUAGCAAUUAACUCAAAUACCCAACAUUUUGGUAUCAGAGCCUCAAGAUCAAAAGGCCUAUAUCAUACUUCCGCAAUAUAAUAUAUAAAUAUGUCAUUUUCUCAACAACAAGUUAUUCCCAUUUUUAAUGGAGAAAACUAUAAAUUCUGGAGUAUUAAAAUGAAGGUGGUUCUACAAGCAAGCCCACACUUAUGGAAUGUUGUAGAAACUGGCAUACCUCAAAAUGUUGCAACUGAAGCCACCACCACAUCGACACAGGCAUCAACACAGGUUGAUUGGCCACAAAGAGAUGCAGAGGCAUUAGCCAAAAUUCAUCUUGCAGUAACAGAUACAAUAUUCCCCCGAAUAAUGAAUGUUACCUCAGCAAAACAAGCAUGGGACAUCUUGAAAGCUGAAUUCGAGGGAAAUGAGAAAACGACAAAAAUAAGGCUUCAGAAUUUGAGACGUGAAUUCGAGAAUCUCAAGAUGAAAGAUGGAGAGGUAAUUAAGGAUUACUCUUCUCGAAUUAUAAAGUUAGUGAAUGAAUUAAAAUCAAAUGGUGAUAAUAUUACUGACCAAAGAGUUGUUGAAAAAAUACUGGUUAGUUUGUCCGAGAAAUUUGAUACAAUGGUGACUGUGAUAGAAGAAUCUAAGGAUCUCACGCAGUUAACUAUCUCGGAGUUGAUAGCAUCCUUACAAAUCCACGAGGAUAGGAUGUCAAAAAGAAAUGAAACAUCGGGUGAAGGAGCUUUUCAGUCAAAACAUAAAGCUUCAUCAUUCAAACAAAAUAAAAGAGGAGGAGCACCUAGAAAGUGUAUUCCUAGCAACUUCAAAGAAUUUGAGAGAAAAGCCAAAUUUUCUCCAUGUUCGAUUUGCAAGAAAACAAAUCAUGCUGAAAAGAAUUGCUGGUACAAAGGAAAAACUCAAUGCACUUAUUGUAAGAAAUUCAACCAUACCGAGGAUGAAUGUAGAGUCAAAAAUCAGCAAGCAAGUAGAUCAGAGACAAUGGAGGACGAGAAUAAAUUAUUUUAUGCAUGUCAAAAUUCAACAAAUCAGAAGGAUGCAUGGCUUGUUGAUAGUGGUUGUACUAAUCAUAUGACCAAACACUCUCACAUUUUCACCGAAAUAGACUCCUCUAUUAAAGUACCGGUAAGAAUGGGCAAUGGAGAAAUGGUGAAAUCUGAAGGUAAAGGUACCAUCACUAUUCAAACAAAGAAAGGAGCAAAACACAUUAAGGACGUUCUAUACGUUCCUAAUCUCGAUCAGAAUUUACUCAGUGUUCCUCAAAUGAUGCAGAAUGGAUAUUCAAUUCAUUUCGAAGGAGACACAUGUGAUAUUUAUGAUCCAGAAGGGAAUAACAUUGCUUGCAUAAAAAUGCUACAAAAAUGUUUCCCUAUUCAAUGGCAAUACAAGAUACAAGAAAAGUCAAUGCAGGCAAAAACAAAUGAGUUAACAUGGUUAUGGCACAAGCGCUUUGGACAUAGUAAUCUACAAAGCUUGAAAUUUCUUUCGAGCAAAAAUAUGGUCAAAGGUCUUCCUCUAAUUUCAGAAACUAUUGGUGUAUGCGAAGGAUGUCAGUUUGGGAAAAUGUCUAGAAAAUCUUUUCCUACUGGACAAGCAUGGAGAGCAUCAAAGAAAUUAGAAUUGGUACAUACAGAUGUCUGCGGACCUAUGAGGACUUCCUCACUUGAUAAUAGCAAGUAUUUUAUACUGUUCAUUGACGACUACUCUAGAAUGACUUGGGUAUACUUCCUGAAAGAAAAGUCGGAAGUAUUUAAUAUCUUUAAUAAAUUUAAGAGCCAUGUUGAGAAGGAGAGUGGUUGUAAAAUCAAGUGCCUAAGGAGCGAUAACGGGACAGAGUAUACCUCAUCAAAAUUUAAAGCAUUUUGUGAAGUGGAAGGUAUACAUCGACAAAUGACCGUUCCGUAUACACCUCAACAAAAUGGUGUAAGUGAGAGAAAAAAUAGAACCGUGAUGGAGAUGGCAAGAUCAAUGUUGAAAGAUAAAAAUUUGCCAAAUAAGUUUUGGGCAGAAGCCGUCUACACAGCCGUAUAUCUUCAGAAUCGUCUACCUACAAAGGCAGUUAAUAAAAGAACACCUCUUAAAGCAUGGUCUGGGCAUAGACCAUCUGUUAGUCACUUGAGAAUAUUUGGAUGUAUAUGUUACAUCUAUGUACCAAGUGAAAAGCGUCAUAAACUAGAAGGUAAAGCUGAAAAAGGAAUAUUUCUUGGCUACAGUUCACAGUCCAAGGGAUAUCGGGUUUACAACCCACAAAAUAAUAAAGUUCAAGUCAGCAGAGAUGUUGUAUUUGACGAAGAUGCUUCUUGGGAUUGGGAGCAUGAUGAUAUCAAGGAAAGAUAUGUUGUGACUCAACCAAUUAAUACAGAACCUACACAUGAAAUAGUUGGUCAACAUGAACAACAUUUUCAGGAGGAGUCUGAGAGUACUUCAGAUGAUCCAGACUCACCAAGGUAUGAAUAUGAUAGUUUUUCUGAUUCACCACCAACAAAAACUCGAAGACUAUCAGAUAUAUAUGAAAAUACAGACAGAAUACCUGAUCUAAAUCCCGAGCAAGUUCAGUUUUGUUACUUUGUCUCGGAUGAGCCAAAUAAUUAUGAGCGUGCAGCUCAGCACAAAGAAUGGAGAGAUGCAAUGAAGGAGGAAAUCUCCAUGAUUGAAAAGAACCAUACAUGGGUUUUAGUAGAUAAACCACCACACAAGGAUACUAUUGGCGUAAAGUGGGUAUACAAAACCAAGCAACAUCCAGAUGGUUCAAUACAAAAAUACAAAGCAAGGCUAGUAGUGAAAGGCUACUCACAACAGUUUGGAGUAGAUUAUAAUGAAACUUUUGCGCCUGUUUCCAGACAGGACACAAUUAGAGCAAUACUUGCUCUCGCAGCCCAGCGUAAAUGGAACAUUUACCAGCUUGAUGUGAAAUCGGCAUUUCUAAAUGGAUUCCUGGAAGAAGAAAUUUAUAUUGAGCAACCACCAGGAUUCAUAAUAAAAGGAAAGGAAGACAAAGUCUUAAGAUUAAAAAAGGCUUUGUACGGACUUAAACAAGCUCCACGGGCAUGGUAUAGUCGGAUUGAUAAAUAUUUUCAUCAACAAGGAUUUAAGAAAAGUCCAAAUGAAGCUACCUUAUACAUCAAAGUGGAAGGACCUGAUAUAUUAAUUCUUUCUCUUUAUGUUGAUGAUCUUAUUGUCACAGGAAGUAAUCUUUCAAUGAUUACAAAAUUUAAGCAACAAAUGAUGAAAAUGUUUGAGAUGACGGACCUGGGGCUGAUGAACUAUUUUCUAGGAAUGGAGAUUGAUCAAUCUAAAGAAGGAAUCUUCAUUUGUCAAGAAAGAUAUGCAAGAAACAUCUUAAAGAAGUUCAACAUGGAAUGGUGUAAACCAAUCUCAACUCCACUUGCUCAAAAUGAAAAAUUGAGUAAGGAUGAUGAUUCAGGGGAAGCUGACUCCACACGUUAUAGAAGUAUAAUAGGCAGUUUAUUGUACUUAACUGCUACUAGGCCAGAUUUGAUGUAUGCCACAAGUGUUCUCUCCAGAUUUAUGCAGAAACCAACACAAGCUCACAUGAAAGGAGUAAAGAGAGUCCUUCGCUAUGUGAAAGGAACCACAAAUUACGGGAUAUGGUUCAACUCUACUGAAAAUCCUGAACUGAUUGGAUAUUCAGACAGUGAUUGGGCUGGAUCAAUAGAUGAUAUGAAAAGCACUUCAGGUUAUGUGUUUUCACUCGGAAAUGGUGUCUUUUCUUGGUUAAGUCAAAAACAAAAUACAGUUGCACAAUCAACAGCUGAAGCAGAAUAUAUAGCAGCAUGUGCAGCAGUUAACCAAGCAAUUUGGCUUAGAAGGAUACUCUCAGAAUUGGGUGAGAAACAAAAAUCAGCAACUAAAAUAUACUGUGAUAGCACAUCAGCAAUUGCUAUUGCAAAGAAUCCGGUUCAACAUCGCAAGACCAAACAUAUUAAAAUAAAGUACCACUUUGUGAGAGAAGCUGAAAAUAGAGGAAAAAUCAGUCUAGUUCACUGCAACACUGAAGAGCAACUGGCUGAUAUUUUCACUAAAGCACUUCCAAAACCAAAGUUCGAAAUUCUCAGGAAUAAGCUCUGCAUACAAAGGAAGUUCUUCAAGGAGGAGUAUUGAAUAAUGAAGAACAUCCAUAUUUUUAGUAAAUUUAAUAUUAAAUAAAAAACACUAAUUUAUAUAUGGUUUAAAAAGAUUAUUUGUUAACUACCAUUAGAUAGUAAUGAUGUAUAAUUUAUUUUCUAAUUUUGUAUGUCAUCCUGUAAGUAUAAAUAGGUUCAUACAAAUUGUUGUAAUCAAGUUGAAGAGAUAUAUAUUUUUACAUAUAUUUUAUACUCUUUUAUCUUCUCAGCACUAUUAGCAAUUAACUCAAAUACCCAACAAAUAUGUUACCUCGGUCAGACAGCAUCAGAAUCUUAUAACCUUCCUUAUUGGAUAUAUAUUAACAUUGUAAUUAUCAUAACAAGAAUAAUAACAGCAGUGCAAGAAAAAGCCUUGAAAAUGUUUUGUAUCUGAACAGAGACAAACUAAUAAAGCACAACAUAUAUACAAUUCUAAUGACAGAAUGACGAAUAUAGAUCAUUCGCCGGAAAACAAAUUCACAUACCAUAAUAAAAAAACUGAAUAUAAUUCAAUAGAAGUAGAAAACUGCAGGAUAAUUUAAGAUGCACAAAUCAACACAAAUACAUAUUAGUCCAUAUUAAGUGUAAAUAUGAAACUGACCUAUGAUAAAUGCAUUUAUUUUAGAAGUGGGGUACCACAUCACAGAUUACUUUUUCAAAUUUAAAACCAAACACCCAUUAACAAGUAAAACUAAAAAAAUAAUCUAUGUUGAGCAUGAUUGGAUAGCCCAGUGGUGGGUUUAUCCUCUGUUGACCCGGGGCACCCGGGUUCGACUCUGGCUCACCCCGAGAAUUAUUAGAACAGAUACUAAGUUGUAAGGCAUAUAAGCCUGCAUUGUCAAAAAAAAAAAAAUAAUCUAUGCCCAAAAAAACAAAAACAAGAAAACAUCUAUCCAUGCAAUUAAACCCCUUUAACAAAACAUAAAAAUAUUAUUAGAAAAAUAUUUGUAAUAAGUCAAGAGCAUACGAUUUUAUCAGGUGAGUAAGAGAUUGAAUGGUCGCUAUUACCCGACAAUCUCUCUUUUUUUUUGCUAAAUGACAAACUCUCCUUUUGAGACCACCACUUCGGACAAAGACUCUGAUGAGCCAUGAUUCCCUAACUGGUGUUGUUCCAUUGGAGAGUAAAUUGGCAGCACGAUACACAAAUAUCUAUGAGCCUAUAACUCUUAUUAACAUGCUUGUGUAUAAGUUUAUAUAUAGACGCACUAUAACCUGGAGAUUGGAGGGGAGCUAUAUACCACUGUUCUGAUUGUUUUGAAUCUUACAUACAUUAGUACAGUCCCUAAAACUAAUCAUAUAGUUCUUAGUGACUUUUUAUCGAACACCUAAUACACAUUAUUCGAACACAAACAUAUAACACGAAAUCAAGUGCGAAAACAUACUUUUAAACACACAAAUCAGUAAUAAAUAGAUACAUCAACACAUACAUCAGCUAGAUUAACAAAUCAUUCAUCUAAAUCAAUCUACAAAUUACACAAUUUAGCAAGAUAAAUGAAAAACUUUCAAAUGGAUCAAUCUCGAACAUGUAUGCUUAGAUUAAUUUAGGUUUGAAAAUCAUUGCAAAUGGUAGAAGAAAUCGUUGAGAUGCGUGGAUUGGAUAUUGAGCUUGUAAGAAAUCGCCGGAGUUGAAGAUGGGGAUAUACAGCGUGAGUAUGAAUCAAAGAGGGAAGACGUU